AGAUUCUUACUUGUUUGUGUAGUAGACGCAUGCAAGUGAUAUUGCGGAUUUUAUCGAAUUGAAUCUUGGCUCUUCACCUCCUGUUCUUAUUGGUCAUUCUUUUGGAGGACUCAUUGUUCAAUAUUACUUGGCAAAUAUUGUAAACAAGCAGACGUUAGGUAAGGUGUAUAUUCAUUCAAAUGAGUUUCGUUUUCUGGAUCAGGUGUAAGAAUGCCUAUACGAUAACCGAUGAGUUUGUUGUUUUCGAUUCCAGGAAUGGAAAAUGCGUUUCCAGAAGUUUCAGGGGCUGUACUUGUUUGCUCGGUUCCACCUUCGGGUAAUAGGUAAACUUCUCGCAACCUAUUGGCUCUUUCCUAUAUCAGUGAACUUCUUCGUUUAGCUUCUAUAUAACUUCCGGGACUCACUUUGUUGUUCAGCGGCUUAGUUUUACGUUAUCUCUUCUCUAAACCUGUGGCUGCUUUUAAGGUAAUAAUCUUUUUCUGUAUCUUGCAAGGAUGAUCUCAGUGUCAUGUUCAACAAUGUUUGUUCUUGGUUAUGUUCUUGAGUAGGUUACUCUCAGUUUAGCUCCUAAAGGUUUUCAGAAAUCUAUUCCUCUUUGUCGGGAAACAUUCUUCUCUCAAGCCAUGGAUGAUCAACUUGUGAAGCGGUAUACCUAUAAUCUAGCUCAAUAGUCACCUCUAAUCUAAAAUCAAGUUUCAGUAAUCUAAACAAAUUGUCUCUCUCUUUUCUUGAUUCAGUUACCAGGAUCUUAUGAGAGAGAGUUCACGGAUGCCGCUGUUUGAUCUGAGGAAGCUAAACGCAUCACUUCCAGUACCGAAACCAAUGGAAAAUUCUACAAAUGUUCUUGUUUUAGGCGCCAAAGAUGACUUCAUAGUGGUAAGAACUACGAACGCACCCUCCUUUGUCCUUUCUAACCAAACCAGAAAGUUUUUCAAUCUUGGUACUUGUAUUACACCGAAAUGGGUUAUGGUUUUGCAGGAUGAUGAGGGGCUGAAGGAAACCGGGCGGUUUUAUGAGGUUGAACCGGUUUGUAUUGAAGGUGUUGCUCAUGACAUGAUGCUAGAUUGUUCAUGGGAGAAAGGUGCUGAGGUUCUUUUGAGUUGGCUUUGUGGUUUGUCUAAACCGGGAAAUUUAUCUGCUUAAUGGAGUAUUUGUGUAGAUAGCUGCUUCUCUUUUUUUUUUUUUUCAGGUAAAAGAAAGAAAAGUGAAGUGUUGAUUUAGUUUGUGGAUAUUAAAAAUAAAAGUGUGGGACAAAAACAAAAUUGCAAUUUUCAUUUUCAGGCCAUAAUUUCAGCUUAGAUUUGGAUUUCUACAUUCGCGGAGGCGGUCUGGUUCCUGGUGAGAGCUCGUGGUUCGUCGAAGAUUUCUUCAACGUCCACAAAAUCAUCUCUACAAAAUUCAAAGAGAGACCCAAAUUCAAAAACUGUAAUUCAGAUCACAAGAAACUGAGAAAGAUGAUAUUGUUUUACCUAAAUCAGAGAUGAAUUCAAUUGGAGAUGCUAAACGGUUGUUGAAAUGGAAGAAAUUGUUUUUUGUUUAAACAACAAAGAUGAGAUCAAAAGAUUUCAAUAUAACUUUACCUCGUCACCUUCUUCGUCAUGGAGGAUUUUUUUGUUUUGCUGGAGAUCAGUUAAUCAGUGUGUUGUUCUUCUCUGAAGUUCUGAAGUCUCAUGACAUGGUGGCUUUGUGUUGUGGCUUUUUUCCAUCAUAUUAAUGAACUUAGAGUUGGAGUACUCCACAUUCUUUUAUCACCGCUUCGUUACCCUGGAUGCCGAACGAAAAUAAAAGCUCGUUGCACGUCACAUCAGCUUCAAACUCAAAGAUGAGCAAAUGCUCUCUUAAAAUGGGAGGCACGGGAAAGCAAUAUUCAGGUCUGUAUGAAACAUCGACGCCAAUUUUACCUUUCUCUGUUAUUCUAGGAAAUACAAUUGUUUCCCUAGCGGCGGCCUCCUCCUUGUCAUUGUCAACAUUUUUAUCCAACAAGACGCAAGCCUUAAAUCUCAAGGUCGUAGAAAGAGGCCUUUGAUUCAAAUUUACCAUUAUGGAACUCCCAUUAGCUCGGUAAGUGAUGUUUGCGGGCACUUCUCUAGCGGGUAAGAGCGCAAAGGUACUACUACUAGUCUGGAUGAAUUCUCUCGCUUCAUUAUUCAGCUUGAAGCAAUUAAUAAACCUGAGAAAUAUUUCUGGAUGAUUGUGAAAGGAGAAAUCAAGUCUCUCCAGUGACUGGCAAUUUAUGGCUGCUACUUUUGAUAAGGAAUCUGAAAGUUGUGGGAUUGUUACCAGCCUCUUGCAUCCCUCUAGUACAAGUGUCUGAAGACGAGAGAUUUUCUUAACCCACAGAGGAAUUUCUUGUAUUUCUACAUCGUUAAAGUAAAGCUUUGUGAUGAUAUCGAGAGCAUGUGGGAAUUCCUUGAGAUUGUCAUUGUAUGACAUUUCCAAGUUACGAAGAUGAGACCAUGACUUGAUCGUCGAAGGCACUUCUUUUAUUGCAGUUUUCAUGAGCAUGAGAUCCUUGAUGUUUGUGGAGAUCUCCGGAAAACUUUUGAUCAGUAAGCAAGCGGUGAGAUCAAGGUUAUUGAGAGAUUCCAAGUUGAUAUUAGUAGGAAGAGCCUCUAGCUGUAAGCAAUCAGUGAGAUCAAGGGCAUUGAGAGAUUCCAAGUUGAUAUUAGUAGGAAGAGCCUCUAGCUUUGAGCAUCCUUGUAAUCUCAACUCUUGCAAUUUUUGAAGGUUUCCAAGAGAGGAGGGGAGCUCCGCCAAACUUGAGCAUCCAAACAGAUCCAAUUUUUCAAGGUUAGUGGCAGUUGAGAGAUUAGGUAACUCUUUUAGGUGUUUAGACUCACGCAAAUCCAUCCUCUUGAGAUUUCCAAGGGGCUGCAGAAACAAAUAAAGACAACAUAAGAAGACGCAUUAAAAAUAAAUUCAAAUAAUAACUGAAAAAUUAAAUUCUUUGUUCAUACAACUUAUACAUAGUUCCUCCCUUUCCACCAAUGAUACUAACCAUGGAGGGAUACUACAAUUUAAGCAAGCAUAAUAAAGACUACAAGAGAUAGCCUUCUAAGAAGAUCACUCCUUUUUGACCCAAUAUUUUAAAAUUGGAGAGAAACACAACAAUUCUGUACCUGAUUUCCUUGCCACAUGUUCUGAAGUUUGCUGUUCCACAUAUCUAUAUGGACUAGAUACUUCGUACAAAAAUUGGAAGGUAAACAUUUCAUUGGAAAACAGCUCCAUUCUAUUAAUCUAAGUUUCCGAGGUAGAUUAUUCAAACCUUGCGGUAAGUACAAUUGUUUGCCUUCACCGUCAUAUGGGCCAUGGAAUCUUAAGAAUUUAAGGUUAGACAAUCCUUCAAAAGCUCUCUCACUGAUAUUUAAUUCGCCUGAUAGGUUAUAUAACUCGAAAAGUAUACCUAUAACAUUUCUACUACCCUGUAAAAAGAGCAGAAAAGAUAGAAAACAAGAGAUAAUUAGCUAUUGAAUGAAUUUAAUUUGUAGAUAAAACAAGGAAACAAGAGAAUAAUAAUAGAACUAACCGUGUUAUCAGUGAGUACUUCACAAAUAUCACUAGCAUCUAACAAAAAUUGACGCUUCCCAGGCUCACGAAUGCAUUGGUGCCCAGGCUUAUGACGGACAAUGUCUCUACCUAAUUGCACUAAUAGAUUGUGCAUCUUUAUACGUGUAUAGUUAGUAGAACGAAUCUCAAUAGCUAUGAGAGAUUUCUCAGCUAAGAGGUGAAGCCCUUGCCUAACAUCUAAGAAACUUAAAGCAAGAUAAUCUUCCACUUUCACCAUUUCUUCAUUGUUGAAAAGGCACGCUAUAUGAAGAAAUAAAUCUUUAUCUUCUUCACCUAAUGCAUCGUAACUAAACUUUAAAAUGCUUUGAAUACUAGCAUCAAGGCGAAUCUUUAACCACUCAUGCAUUUACAUUCCCCGGAAGUGGGAUCCCAUAACUCUUAGUCCCAAAGGUAGAUUACCUAAAAGUUUUGUAACUUGCCACGCAAGCUCCUCAAAACCAUCUUUAGGGAACUUUUGGCCAAAAGCAUACAUACAAAACAUCUGAUAAGCUUCAUAUGCUGAUGGAAACUCCACCUUGUAAAUAUGGUUGAUGCCAUGUGCCUUCAAAAGCCUUUGGUCUUGUGUUGUGAUGAUAAUCCGACUUCCAUGACCGAACCACCGAGUUUCUUUUGCAAUAGCAUCUAGUUGUAUUGAUUGAUCAAUGCUAUCAAGAACAAUAAGCACUCUCUUGUCGUUCAACCUAUCUUGUGCAACUCCUAAAUGAGGAAGCUCCAUAUCCUUGUGGUUGAUUAUUUGGGACAAAAACUGUUGCUGUAACUGAAUCUUUGCACUAUACUCAUCAGAACACAUUGGUCUUGUAUACAUCAGCUCUUUGAUAUUCUCCAUGAAGAUACUCAAUUCAAAACUUUCAGAAAAUUGGCUAUAUAAGACUCUGGCAAUGGUAGUCUUCCCAAUCCCAGACGGACCCCAAAUCCCAAUCAUCCUUACUUCAUCAGAGUCUAGGCAUAACAACGAUUCCAUUUCUUUCAUAUGAGCCCCCAUCCCAAUUAAAUCGUCAAAAUCUCUUGAUGGUGAGUAUCUAUUCAGCAUGUUUGAAACAUCAGUGGCGAUUUUUUCAGUCAUGGUUGCUUCAUUAUCCCUAACAAAUUAAGUGACCAAUUUAUACAAAAAAUUAUGUAUUGGUUGUCUUGAAAUUCUUUAAAAUCUACCAAUAAAUAUAGUUUGAUGUGUUAAUAAAAUAUUAGUCAGGGCAAGUAUAAAUUAAGAAAGCUAACCAGUUACGGGAAUGCUCCCCAGCGAUUGUUGCCACAGCCUCCAAAACGUUUUGCCAUCUCUUAAUGUCCUCUUUGGUUUUACCUUUACACGUUUUCUUGAAGACCUUCCCAAAAUCUCCUGUCUGCUUCUUUACGUCCGUUGGAUUAACGUCAUAGAAAAUGGUCAUCACUGUUUGACCCAACUCUUCUCUACACUUCAUGAUCUCCACCAACUCGUUUAAGCACCAAGACGAAGAAGCGUAGUUUCUCGAGAGCAAGACGAUCGCGAUCUUCGAUCUUUUUAUAGCUUCUAUGAGCUCAGGACCGAUAGACUUGCUCCUCUCGAUAUCAUUAUCAAUGAAUGGAACGAUUCCCUUUCCUUUGAACUCUUUUAGGAUGUGAGCAAGAAAGGUUUUACGAACAUCUGCCCCGUGGAAGCUUGGGAAGACCUCGUGUUUCCGAUUUUGAGACAAAGAAGAUGGAGUAGAUGAAAAAGAUAAAGUAGAAGAAGAAGAAGGAGAAGAAGCUAUUGUUUUGUUUUCUUGAUGGGAUUUGUGUUUUCCAUAAAACAUAAAAAAUAUUGUACCGAAAAGAGUGAAGAAGGUUAUUGCAGCAGCACAAAAACCAAAGUAAAAAGAAGAAUCCAUCAAGUAUGAUCAAGAGAAGAUCAAUAUCUCAAAGCUUUUCAGAAACCAAUCUGCAGAAGGAAAUGGAAAGAGCUAGUUUGUUUAUUGAAUCUUGAAAAUGCUUUUAUUGAGAUAGUCAUAAAAGAACUUUAAGUUAACGUCUUAACGAGUCCCUAUACUUUUAACUUAUUACGAAUCCUUUCCAUCAUAUUAUUAUCCACUUGGAAUUAUUACUAUAGUUUAUAAUAUAGAUAAAUUAACACAAUAAACCGAACUAAAAAAUUCAGUAAUGUGAAGUAUAAUGGGGGCAAAUUGAUACUAACGUAAAGAUGUUAAGAGAGAUUUUGAUAACACCAAAAAUUGUAGGGCUCUUCUUCUAAUGACGCAGGAUUUAUAAUAUUUUACCUUGACAAUUUCUUCGAAACCUCCUAAUGAUGCAGGGAGGGUUAUAUAUUUUUUAGUUAUUUACAUUUUCUUGGAAGAAGGACUUUGUCGCAGAAAAUUGAGCGAUGAUCAAUGUCCGACCAAAACUGCAGACGUUAGACAAUGAAAUACGAACCAAUAUUUAACCACAAGUCAAACAAAAAUAAAUAAAAAGUCACUUAAAAAACUACAGGUUGGAGAAAUGCUAAAUAUUUGAUUAGCUAUGUGUAAAACCUAUCUUCUUAUAUAAAGUAGGUGUAAACACGUUGGAACGUAUUUAUAAAUUCGUUGGAACGUAACCCCUGAUUUGUAUUGAUAUGCUCAAAUUAUCUUUAAGCAACUCUCUCAAAUAAGAGAUAUGUGUAGUAUUUAAAAAUCGAAUUCCACAAAAAAAAAAUAUUCACACAAAAAACUAAUAAUUUCGAAAUUAAGCUAAAUAGAAUAUGAAAAAAUUAAAAUAAAGCAAAACAGUUAUAUCAAUGUAAAUUCAAAUGAAUUAAAGCGUCAAGCUUAAGCAAUUUCUCAGGAAAUAUUAGAAUAUUAGAUCUAGCAAUUAGUUAGGAAUUAUUACAGAACUGUUCUAGAACUCUAAUCACGCAAUUAUAAUCAACCAACUCUCGUCUGUAUUGACUAUCUAUGUCUAGUAGCAGGAAUUCCAAUUCUUGUCUGUAAAUCCCUAAAAUUAAACAAGCAUUAACGAUCAUGUUCGAUAUGUUUACAAAAGUAUUUAAAUCAACUAUCGUUUGUAUUUAGUUACUUUGGCCCACCUAAAAUAAUUCCGGUAAUAAGCGCACUCUUGUGUCUAACCUAUUAUCCUAAGAUCAAGUUUUAGUUAGCUGUUAAGAUCUAUGGACUUCCAACUCAAAACCAAUUGGCAAUGAGUGGAGUGGCUCAUAUCCCUUAUAUAUUACUUAAGAUCCCUUCCAACUUCCGAUGUGGGACAUUAUGUCCUAAUACGCCCCCUCGAGAUGAUGGCUCUUUGGCCAUUAAUCUCGGAAUGUUCGGGCUUAGAUCGACGACAUCAAUUUUGGGCCUUGUCGAUGAUUGGACCAUCUUUGGGUCGGAUCGGGUUGGACAUGUGUGGAUCGGGCUCUGAUACCAUGUUAAGAUCUAUGGAGUGGCUCAUAUCCCUUAUAUAUUACUUAGGAUCUCUUCCAACUUCCGAUGUGGGGCAUUAUGUCCUACUAUUAGCUACUCUAGAACUAGCAUUAAGAACAAUAGAAGAUGAAAAACUCUAUAGAUUUUAUCCUAGCAUGUUAUCUUUCUACUAAUUCAUCUAACUCCCUAUUGAGAAUCCCUAAACCUAACAAAAGGACUACUCAAACAUGAUCAUGAAAGCAUAAAACAAGUUUAAAAUAGAUAUCAUGAAAGAAAACAAAAAGAGAAUAGAGAUUAAAAAUAUCUUCUCUCUACACGGGUUUUGAAAUCUCUGAGAAUAAAGCUAUCUCCAAUUAUCUUUCAAAAGAUUCAAGUUCUCAGAGAAUACAAAGUAAAAAGCAAGAUAAAACUAAAAAAUUGAUAUAAACAAUGACCCUAAAAUCUAUUUAUUUAUAUGUUCUCAAAAACGUUCAUGGACUAAUAUUGCAAAUAAGAAAGUCUUCUGGACAAUUCUACAAGGUUCAAAACUUGUUAAUUCUCGAGACUUCUGUUGGGCCACGAACGAUGUCGACCGACACCAAUAAUGUCGAUCGACACCAACAAUGUUGAUCGACACUGAUGACUUGGUCUGACUCCAAAUUCGUCUCUUCAGCCUUUAUUCCUUGACUUUGCUCCAAAAUAUUCCACAAUCUCCAAAUCCAUCUCGGUCACGUAAACACCUGAAAAAACACUAAAAAGACUCUAGAAAUAAGAAAAAGACUCUAAAAACAAUACAUAUAUCAUGGUUAAAAGCCGUAAAAUCUAUGAUAUAUCAUGUAUUAUUAAGAAUAUUACAAAUGAAGUAUAAGGCUUGUAUGCAAGUCAAGUCAAGUUUUACGGCUUGUAUGCAAGUCAAGUUUUCAUCAUCAUAAGCUUGUAUAUAUGACAAAUGAAGUAGAUUUAUAAAAUUAUCUGCCUCAUGAAGAAACAAGUGAUUUUUGUUGAUACACGAAUCACACAAGUACGGAAUGGAUCUCUAGGGAAGUAAGAAGAAUCUUUCUUUUAAACGACGAUCCGGGAGUUACAAAAUGACGACUACGAGAUACGGUCUUCGGAUCUAAGUUUGGACGAGGUCGAGAUGAACUAUGAGUUGGACGAGCUGAAUAACGGAGUCAACGGGCCGAGCCGCAAAGUUCUGAUGACGGUUGUACGAUUUUUCUGCAGACGGUUAUUUUAGGAUCCCCCUGAUCAUCAUUCCAUUUCAUUAUUUAUAGGGUACGGAGGUAGGGUACCCUGAGAGGUGAAAUCAGUAGAUUUGGGUCGACUGGGCUUGGUCGUUGUUCGGCCUAUUUCCAAAUUUUGGGCCAACAAAAAGAGUUGGGCUUGGGAAACUCUUUAGCUUUUCGGCCCGUCAGCUUGUUUGGGCUAAUGAGCGAAUUUGGGCUUUCAUCCAUCAACAAUUUUGAACAAAAAAAGAAGAAGAAACAAGUGAUAACAUCAUUGAAAAAUCAAUCGACAUAAUUAAUCCCAAAAUAAUUUCAAUUAUACAUGAAUUCUGUAUAUUAUAUACAUAUACCAAACUUUAGCCGAACAUUUGAAAAUAAACAAUCUCCUUAUUUAAUUACCUUAUACAUAAAUCUCACCCAUGACAAGAGUUUUCCUAUCCCAUUUUUUUUUUUCAAUAGCAAAGCCGGAAAAUGCUAAUGACAAUCCAAGAAUCUCAUUGAACUUUCUCUCUAGUUUUCUCUCUCUAAAAUUCUCUCCCAAGCACGGGAUUCCAAACUUCCAAAAGAAGAAAUGGUUUCAAAAACAGUAGAUCUCACCAAACCUUUUUAGCUUCUUUGGGAAAUUUCUUUUGGCCUACUGGGUUUUGGCUUGCUCCCAUAGACUUGGCGAUGGCUUUUUCUCUUUUCCCCAGUCUUUGGUCUCUUUCCCUUGUAGCCUCUGUCCCCAUUUCCCUUCCUUUUUCUAUCUGUUUUCUCUCUUCCACAGCGUUGCUCCAGCUUUCUCUGUGACUUUCAACCUCCUUUUCUCUCUGAAGACCUUCCUGCAAUAGCAGUGUUUCCUAAGCUUCUUUUCUAGCGUCAAGCUAAGCUCUGUUUCUUGUUUUCUCUGUAAGUUUCUCUCCAACCAUGUCCAAAAGAAUGAGACCAAGUUGGUAUAGGGAAUCACCUCCUAAACAAGCCCCUUUUGACUUUGAACCUGAGGAUGAAGAGGAUGUUUUUAUCCUUCCCCAGGUGGACAACUCUGUUAUGUUGGCUCGUUUGCAGCGGAGUCUGGUGGGACGAAUGUUCCACCAAGGUGGUCGGAGUAUAGACGCAUUGGUGUCUCUUCUCCCUAAAGAACAUAUCUGGGACGUCGAGGGACGUGUCCGGGGUGUUUCUUUGGGCGACUCUCGGUUCCAAUUCUUCUUUGAAUCAGAAGCCGACCUUCUGAAGAUCUUGAAUAAGCGGCCAUGUCAUUUUAACAAAUGGUCAUUUGCUUUAGAACGCUGGGAACCUAACUCUGGCCCUUCCUUUCCUGAUAACAUGACCUUUUGGGUCAGAACUGAAGGUCUCCCUGCUGAGUUCUGGGAAGAAGCAGCUUUAAGGAAUUUUGGUAGAUCUCUUGGUGUGGUUCACGGCGUUGACUCCACUAAUGGUAGGUUUCAGCUCUCUGUUAAGGCAGACGUCCCUCUCCGCUUUAACAAGCAUGCUCAGCUUCCCUCUGGAGUGGUGGUGCGAGUUAAGUUGUUCUACGAGAAGCUCAAUCGAUGGUGCACGUAUUGCCGCAGGAUUUGUCACGAGCUUGAUCUUUGUCCUUUGCUAGAUGCAAACCAGAGACAAGCUUUGCUUGAUGAGGAGGCCCUGAAAAAUCCCCGCUUUUUAAACAGAGGUGGCAAUUUGAACCAGUCCCAUCUCAUUCCUCAUGUUUCCUCUGCUGCAACUCGCAGUGAGCAUGGGAGGAAGAAUCUAUCCUUGUCUGCAGCUCCUUCCCUUGGAAGACAGAACACUUCUUCUUCUCAAGAUGAUAGAGCAGGAGGCUCUCGUCAUUUCCAGCAUCAGUCUCGGAAGUCUUCACAGAGAAAUUUUUCUUCUCGUGCUCCAGUCCAGCACCGUUUGGUGGACUCUGUUUCCCGUCGAUGACCUCCUCCCAUUUCAGAUUCACGGAGAAAUGGUGGUGAGGACAAACGUAAACGGCGCCAUGAGGACUCCUUUUCACAGGAGAAAAGAUUUGAAGCCUCUAACAAGGAUCGCAAGGGUCCAUCUCACGCUUUUACUUCAGUAUCCUUUCGUCACAGGGACUCCCUGAGUAGGGAACAGGCGCCAUCUCAGAUUUCUGAUUCCCAACUCACCUUGUCUGACAAUCUGUUGGCUCCUAGAGCUAAACAAGGAAAUUUUUCCCCAGAGUUUAAUAGAGAACAUCCGUUUCGUCUUCAUCUCUCUAGGAAGAGUGAUGGAAUUGAUAAGGGUAAAGGUAAGGUCUGGGACCUCCCUCCUGUGAACCCAGAAGUUUGUUCCGAAACAGAGACGGGAAGCUCAGCCAAGAAGUCGCUCAACUUUGAUGGUCCAGGCUUCUCAUCUCAGCUUCCUUUGUCUCCAAUUCCUUUUGCAAGUCUGACUCUGGAGCCUCAAACAGAGAAGCGCAAGAGUUGGUACGAACAAACAGUGGAGGAAGAAGAGGAAAAUGCUAGGAUUCUGGCUGAAGUACCAGACACAAUUUUGGCAGCUAAAUUUUCUCAGGCGGUUUCUUUUUCCAGUCCCGUUGGUACUCAGCCAUCACGGUCUAAGACUUUACUGUAAUCGGCUCCGGAGUUUGGAUGGGAAGGCUCUCAUCCUCCUCUGUCGGAAGCCCUAGACCUGGAUUGGACGGCGGAGGACGACGCCGCCUACCGCGCCAUGGAACCGGCAAUGGAUUCGGAUGCCCUUGUUUUGGACAAUGACGAUCUGUUGGGAGAAGAGUUUGAGGAGAGCCUUCGAGCUGGUCAAAGUUGGCAGAUUCCAGCUGAUUCCGGACAGCCGCAGAGGCUGAUUCCGACGAAGAAGUCCAAAUCUCGUGCUGCGGGAGUCGGAAACCAGUCCGACAGUGGGAAGAAGACGACGGAAGUGGCGGAAUCUUCACUUCCUGGGCCAGUGGAGAAAAAGGAUCUGAAGAAAAAGAAGAAUGAGGCCCAGCAGCGUAAGGCCCAUUCCUCUUCUGGGCUUUUAGUCAAUCAGGCCUCAAGAAAGAUUCAGAAUUUGAAAGGAAGAUCGCCAAGUAAGAGAUUGGCCAGCCGGUCCGGUUUGGCUAAACCGGGGAAUUUAAGACGUGCAGCUUCGGUUCCAAGACUUCGCGUUCUCCCGUCUUCGAAGAACAAGUCUACUCGUACACCCGUUGGUUCGGUGGGGUCCCCAACUCCCCCGCUACUAACCCAUGAGACUCUUAGCGUGGAACUGUCAAGGGGCGGGUGCUCAGCUUACCACCCGUCGACUGGAAGAGAUGUGUCGGUUGUACUCUCCAGGGUUCCUCUUUUUAUCAGAAACCAAAAAUGAUUUUAUGCAUCUCCAGAAUAUGCAAGUAUCUUUAGGUUUUGAUUCGCUUAAAACUGUUGAACCGAUUGGUAACAGUGGUGGUCUUGCCCUUUUUUAUUCGAAAGACUAUCCGGUUAAAUUUGUUUUUGUUAGUGAUCGGCUUAUUGAUAUUGAGACUAUUAUUGAUAGAAACCGAGUUUUUAUUUCCUUUGUUUAUGGAGAUCCGGUAGUUCAGUACCGAGAGUUAGUUUGGGAACGGUUGACUCGCAUUGGCAUUACCCGUUCUGAACCUUGGUUUAUGAUCGGUGACUUCAAUGAAAUAACUGGCAAUCAUGAGAAAAGGGGUGGGAAACGUAGAUCUGAAUCCUCUUUCCUUCCCUUUCGCUGCAUGAUCGAGAAUUGUGGUAUGAUCGAGAUCCCUUCACAGGGGAACUUGUUCUCCUGGGUAGGGCGUCGGAGUUGUGGACCUGCGGGCCGGAAAUGUCGUCGCCUCAUCAAAGCCCGCUUAGAUCGAGCUUUGGGCAACGAGGAAUGGCACACCAUUUUUUCCCACACUAAUGUGGAGUAUUUAAAAUUAUGGGGGUCUGACCACAGACCCCUUCUCGCUUCAAUACAGAAUAGCCCGCACCGUGUUGUCAAAAACUUUAUUUUUGACAAAAGAUGGAUUGGAAAACCGGGUUUUAAAGAAUCGGUUCUCCAAGGCUGGACCUUCCCUUCUCCAGAAGGUGCUCCUUUUUUGCAAAAAGUCUCGAAUUGCAGAAAAUCUAUCUCUAUUUGGAAGAAAUCGAGUUCGUCAAACUCGGAGAAGCUGAUUAUUGAAUUACAGAAUCAAAUUGAUCUGGCCCAGGAAGAUGAGUUGAUUUCAGCAGAAGAACUGCUAGCCUUAAAAUGGAAGCUUUGUGACGCGUACAGAGAAGAGGAGAUUUUCUGGCGGGCUAAAAGCAGGGAAACUUGGUUCAAAGCUGGUGAUAAAAAUACUAAAUAUUUCCACGCUAUUACUAAACAACGAAGAGCUAAAAACAAGAUAAUUGGUUUAUUGAAUCAAGAUGGGAUGUGGGUGGAUAAAGAAGCGGAAAUUGAAGUCUUAGGGUGAACUAUUUUAGAGACAUCUUUUCUACUUCUGAUCCUCAGGAGUUCCAUUCCGUCCUUAGGGACGUGCCUGUUAUGAUCUCGGAGGCAAUGAACCAGAAUCUUUUAAAGGAUAUCUCCCCUGAGGAAGUUCGACGCGCUCUUUUCUUACUUAACCCGGACAAAACUCCAGGGCCGGAUGGCAUGACUGCCCUUUUCUACCAGCGGUUUUGGGAUCUAACCGGGCCGGACCUAAUCAAAGUGGUACAAGACUUCCAUGCGUCAGGAUCCUUUGAUAGGCGACUGAAUGAAACAAACAUUUGUUUGAUUCCGAAGACAGAUAGACCGAGAAAUAUGUCGGAAUUUCGAAGCCUGUGUAAUGUUAGUUACAAAGUUAUAUCAAAGGUCCUAAGCUUUCGGCUUAAGAAACUUCUUCCGGAUUUAAUUUCCGAGACUCAAUCUGCCUUUGUUUCGGGUAGACUCAUUACUGAUACUAUUCUUAUAGCACAAGAAAACUUUCAUGCUCUUCGGACCAAUCCGGCGUGCAAGAAAAAGUUUAUGGCUAUAAAGACAGACAUGAGCAAAGCUUACGAUCGAGUAGAAUGGUCCUUUUUACAAGCCCUCAUGUUAAAAAUGGGCUUCGCUCAGAAAUGGGUAGAUCUGAUCUCGUUCUGUAUCUCAUCAGUCUCUUAUAAAGUUCUCUUGAAUGGAGCCCCGAGAGGGUCCAUUAAACCAACAAGGGGAAUUCGGCAAGGGGAUCCCAUUUCUCCCUUUUUGUUUAUCUUGUGUACCGAAGCUUUGGUGGCUAAUAUUAAAGAAGCAGAAUGGCAUGGACGAAUUCACGGUCUGCAAGUUUCCCGUGCUAGCCCUUCUACCUCUCAUCUCCUUUUUGCGAAUGAUAGCUUAUUCUUCUGUAGAGCAGAUCCACUCCAAGGUGCGGAAAUCAUCAAAAUUCUCCGCAUUUAUGGCAAGGCGUCGGGUCAACAGCUGAAUACAGCAAAGUCUUCGGUGAUGUUUGGACAUGAUGUUGACAACAUCACUCGAAACUCUAUCAAGGAGUCCCUUGGUAUACACAAGGACGGGGGAAUGGGGUCUUACUUGGGGCUGCCGGAACAGAUUCAUGGUUCCAAAACUCAAGUUUUUGCCUUUGUGAGGGACAAGCUCCAAAAAAGGCUUAAUACAUGGUCCGCUAAAUUCGUGUCCAAAGGAGGCAAAGAGGUUCUUAUAAAAUCGGUAGCACAGGCCCUUCCGACAUAUGUUAUGUCGUGUUUUCUUCUACCAAAAGCUAUUCGUUCCAAGUUGAGUAGUGCCAUUGCAAACUUUUGGUGGAAAACUAAUGAAAAUAGUAAUGGUAUCCACUGGAUCGCUUGGGAUAAGCUUUGCACGCCACACUCCGACGGCGGCCUGGGGUUUAGAACAUUGGAGGAGUUCAACCUGGCUUUACUCGCAAAACAACUCUGGCGCCUCCUCAGAUUCCCGAAUUCCCUUCUGAGUAGGGUCCUGAGGGGUAGAUACUUCCGUUUUAGUGAUCCUUUACAUAUUGGUAACUCCAACCAACCCUCCUAUGGAUGGAGGAGUAUUAUGGCGGCGAAACCACUUCUUCUCUCGGGACUGCGAAGAACUAUUGGCUCUGGAAUGUUAACCCGGGUUUGGGAAGACCCGUGGAUUCCCACAAUCCCUCCGCGACCCGCAAAGAGUAUUCUUGCCUCUAGAGAUCCACAUCUCUAUGUUAAUGACCUUAUUGACCAAACCACAAAAACUUGGAAUCUGGAUCGCAUUCAAGGCUUGAUUGAUCCUAACGAUAUCCCUCUUAUCUUAGGGAUCCGCCCAAGUCGUACAUAUUUGAGUGAUGAUUUUAGUUGGUCUCACACCAAAUCCGGAAACUACACGGUUAAAUCCGGUUAUUGGGCCGCGUGAGACUUGUCUCGUCCUACUUGUGACCUCCCUUUUCAGGGUCCGGGUGUUUCGACACUCCAGGCACAAGUAUGGAAACUUAAAACUACACGAAAGCUUAUGCAUUUCGUGUGGCAAUGUAUCUCGGGUUGCCUAGCCACUAGUCAGAAACUUGUCUACCGACAUAUUGGUACAGAUAAAAGAUGCCAACGCUGCGGAGGGGAAGAGGAAUCUAUUAUACACCUACUUUUUGAAUGUCCGCCUUCGAGACAAAUAUGGGCCUUAUCACCAAUUCCCUCAUCCGGGCACAUCUUCCCGAGAAAUUCCCUUUUCUAUAAGUUUGACUUUCUCUUUUGGAGAGGUCGCGAUUUUGGAAUAGAAGAGGAUGUGUUAGAACUCUUUCCAUGGAUACUUUGGUAUAUAUGGAAAAGCCGUAAUCGUUUCAUCUUUGAGAAUGUCAAAGAACCCCCUUUGGAGACUCUGGACUUAGCACUGAGAGAAGCCUCGGUUUGGAAGAAAGCACUUUCGAAAGAUGAAGUCGAUCCCGAUAUUCCCGUUCGGCCGGCGCUAAACCUUGCUUUAUCACCCCGAUUAUCGGAAUGCCAGCUAGACGCUUCCUGGCAUUUGGAGGAUAGCCUAAGUGGACAUGGUUGGGUCUUGAUUGACUCGGACAUCAUCUCACACAUUGGUCUCAAGAGUUCGCGAAGAAGUCUCUCGCCGCUCCAUGCAGAAUUGGACUCCUUGCUUUGGGCAAUGGAAUGUUUGACCUCGUUAGGCAUUACUGCUGGCGCCUUUGCUUCUGAUUGCUCGGAAUUGGUUUCUCUCCUCGACAACCAAGAAGAUUGGCCAUCCUUUGCUGCAGAACUGGCCUCUUUUCGGUCCCUCGCUUGUUUUUUCCCUUCCUUUAGUAUCAGAUUUAUUCCCGUAAUCUUAAUGCUCGAGCAGAUUGGCUAGCCAAAAAAGCUCAGGCUCGUUGUAGUCUAUUUUUCCAUGUAAGUUCGUCGGUUCCUGAAUGGCUUUCCCCAGCGGAAAGUGUCUUCCCGAUAUCUUAAUGAAAAUGGUGUUUGUGAAAAAAAAAAAAAAAAAAAAAAAAUCCAAGAAUCUCAUUUUCUAACGAUUUUUGCCAUUCUGAUUCUAUACCCAUCGAGCAGUGUCCAUAACAAUUAUCUUCGUUAUUGGAAUUCUCGAGUUCUUAAUUUAAUUUCCGGCGGCGUAACUCCUGGUCCACCGAAGAAUUCUUCAACGACGACAAAAUCAAGAAUAUAGAUAGUGACAAUGGUGAAAUAUUAUCAAGUUAUGCAUGUCUUUAUAUUAUCUCUUUACCUUACAUGCAAAUAAAAAUAAUGUUUUUAUCGAAAAGAAAUUUAUCACCAAAUUAUGGAAGUUACAAUUACAAAAGAAAGCAAAUUGGUUUAAAAAUUCUAUCAACAACCAGGAGUUGUCUCCUAGUGGUAAAGGGCCUCCAGCUGGGGGUACCGCCACCUGGGUUCGAUUCCCGGCAACUGCGGAAUUCACAUGGCGGCUGCAGGCUUCUAGGACUACGUCAGUUCCGCUUGGACACGAUGCUAGUCGGGCCACUUCGGUGGGACCGGACACCUGGGUUAUCAAAAAAAAAAAAAAAUUCUGUCAACUUGUUUUAGCAAAUGUACUUGCAUAGGCAGAUACUAAAACCAUCAAGGUUUGUACAAAACCCAUGUCCACCAUUGUAUUUUUUGUGUACAGUUCGUAUCACAACAUUGUUCAUUACAAAUUUCACAGCAAUCUUUAAUUUAUAGUCUGAAUAAAUCGGUUCCUCUAUUAAUAUUCCGAAUUGCUCGAGUUAGAGCAGAACUUCCACAGGAAGUACCAACCAAACAUAGCUUCUCUGACGUUUUUACGUGGAGUUCAGUGAAUUAGUGUUUGUUUAUUCUAGCUCUGAAGGUGAGAAGGUGGCUUUGCGACUCCGAACCAAGUCUUGAGUUGUUUUCUUCUGGAAGGUACUUAGAGUUGGAGUACACCAUAUUCUUUUAUCACGACUUCGUCACUGCCAAGGUGGAACUUAAAUAUAAGCUCAUUCGACGUCACCUCCGUCUCAAGUUCAAAGGUGAGCAGAUGCUCUCUUAAAAAGGGAGGCACAAUAAACCUAUAUGCAGGAGGCACGACGCCUGCUUUAUGUUUUUCCAUGAUGUCAUAAUAUACCACUAUUUCCCUACCAUCGUCCUCUUUCUCCUUGUCAUUUUUCUUAACCAACAAGAUGCAAGCCUUAAAUAUUAAGGUUGUAGAAAAGGGCCUUUGAUUCAAACUUACCAUUAGGAAACUUCCAGCAUCUCGUGGGUAAGUGAGGUUUGCAGGCACUUCUCUACUCGGUAAGAGCUUACGGGUACUACUAGUCUGGAUGAGUUCUCUCGCUUCUUUAUUCAGCUUCAAGCAGUUAAUAAACUUCAGAAAUUUCUUCGAAUGAUUGUGAAAGGAACCACCAAGAGUCUCCAGUGACUUGCCAUUUUCAAUCCAUACGUAUGAUACAGAAUUUGAAAGUUGCGGUAGUGCUACCAGCUUCUCCUAUACCUCUAGUAUAAGUGUCUUAAGAUGAGAGAUUUUAUUGAUCCACGAAGGAAUUUCUUGCGUUUCUGUAGCUCCAUAGUGCAGCUUUGUGAUGAUAUCAAGAGCAUGCGAGAAUUCCUGAAGGUUUUCAUUGUAAGACAUUUCCAAGUCAUGAAGACGAGACCAUGACUUGAUCGACAAAGGCACUUCUUUGAUUGCGGUUCUCAUGAGCUUGAGAUGCUUAAUGUUUGUAGAGAUCUCAGGAAAACUUUUCAACAUUAAGCAAUCAGAGAGAUUAAGUUUAGCAAGAGAUUCCAAGUUGAUGUUGGUAGGAAGAACUGCUAGCUUUGAGCAUCCUUGCAAUUGUAACUCUUGUAAUUUAUGAAGAUUUCCUAUAGCGGAGGGCAGCUCCACCAAGCUAGUGCACAUUCCAAGAUACAAUUUCUGGAGAUUAGUGGAAUUUCCAAUAGAGGAGGGGAGCUAAACUUGAGCAUUUAGUGAGAAUCAAUUCUUGAAGUUUAGUAGCAGUUGAAAGAUCAGGUAACUCAUUUAGGUUUUUUGAACCUCUCAAAUUUAUCCACUUGAGGUUUCUAAGCGACUGUACAAACAAACAAAGAUGAGAUAAAAAAAAUAAAGAAAUUUUCACGUUUAACAUGAAAAAAAGAUUUGAUCUCACCCUUUGGCAAAGUGAGAUUUGGUUCUCAUGUUUUGACAAUUAAGCCAAAAUCUGACGAAAAUACCCUUAAUGACUUAAACCAAAUGGCAUAGUUGGUUUCGGUUUAGUUACUUUUUCUUUGUUUUACGGUUUGGUUUUGAAUUAAAAAAAAAAAAAUUUUGCGCAGAAACGAAGAAGAAGAACGAGAGAGAGAGAGAGAGGCGAUGGAGGCGAUUUUAGGGUUUCUUUCCCAACAAUGAUGGUUUUCGAUCGGAGGCAUUUGGAUCGGUUUAUUUUUGGUCCUCCAUGGAGUUUCAAUGGUCGGAUCUGUGGGUAUCAAUUGGAUUCUAGGGUUCUUGGGUUGAUUGCGGUGGUGUUCGGUGACCCGUUUGAAAGGUUCUGGUCAUGGGAAGGGACCAAUAUUGUGGUCUCUCCCAAUCGCUCUAUUUUCCUCUCCGUUUUCCGCUGCCUUCGUUCCUCUGUUCAAUCUCAGUUACCGCCGCCUCCGCCUCUUUGAAACCCUAAUCCUAUAUCCACUAAGGAGAUCCUCUCUUAGUUCAAUUUCCUCUAAACCCAGAUCUUCGAAACCGUUACAAAGUUUCAAGCUUCGAAGCCUAACCUCUCUUCAUGGUUUUCUCUCAUGGGUUCUUCUCCCAAAUCUUCAAACCCAGGUGACGAUUUCACAAAAUUGAUUCUUUUUUGUUUCUGGGUAUUUGUAAAGAUGUUCACUUUUCUGAGGUUUGGGUAAUUGUGUACAGAGAAGAAGAGAAGAUGUAAGUGUACGAUGAAUUUUGCGUCUUUGUUUGCUGUUGGAGCACCUGAGGCUUUAGUUAUUGGUGUUGUCGCUUUGUUAGUCUUUGGUCCUAAAGGCCUUGAUGAGGUUAGUGUCUCAAUUUUUCCUGAUUUUGUGAUGAUUGAUUUGUAUGAGUUCUUUUCAAUGAAAUCUUGUUAUUUACAGAUUUUGAUUUAUAUGUUGCUAAGUUUUAUUGAUAGGAUGAGGAAUCUGAGAAUAUGGAAGUCUUUCAGGUAUUCAAAGAGUUAAAUUCUGCAGAGAAUUGAAGAGAAGGCAAAGGGUAUUCAAAGACUUGAAGAUCUGCAGAGAAUUGAAGAGAAGACAAAGGGAUUCGGAGAGAAAGAGUAGAAGAUAUUUUUUGUUUUUUUUUUUUUGUUUUUUUGUGAUAUUUUAGUUAUUAUUUCUCAUACAAAAUAUAUUUUCUAAAUUUUGUUUUAAAUUAUUACUUUUUCUAUUUAUAAAUUAAAAUUAGAUUUUUUUGAAUUCGUAAUUCAAAAUAAAAAUCAAAAUUUAAAAUUAUAAAUUAAAAUCAGAUCCAUAUAAAAUAUAUAAUUGCAUAUUAAAAAAAACGCUAUAUUUAAUGAAAAUAUGAUAGCAAUGAAAAAAACUGCUAUGUUAUGUCUUCGAUCUACUAUAACGGACGAUGAUAGAGCGUUUGUUAAAGCGCUAUAGUAUCGUUAGAUAGCGUUUUUUGGACGCUGCGAAAGAUCAAUAUUCAUGUAGUGAGAGAAAGGCGAUGGAGGCGAUUUUAGGGUUUCUUUCCCAACAAAAGUUUAUAGAGGUGAUUGGCUUAUGGAAUCAGGAAAAGAGAAGUAUUGUACCAAGGGAGGGGCAAUUCUCAUAAAAAUAUCGAAUUAUUUUAUGUACACAGACAUAUCAGAAACAUACAUAGUUAUAUGAUGGCAAACAUUAAACGUACGUACACCGACAAAAAAUAUGGUACACAUGGUCCAGACAUAAACGUACACUGUCUACACGGUGACAAAAAACAAGGACAUAAAACUAAAUAGGAUUUUUGCAAGUCUUCUUGUUAUGACCUGCUUGUCUACAUCUUGUACACUGAUUCAGAAAGAGUAUUUCUCUUCUUUUUUUCCAGUAGUGACAACAACAAUAAGUUAACAAACAACGCAUCUUAUACUCUAAACAUAGAUAUAGGCAAAUAUGUGCACAUGUUAGAAUGUUAAAACUUACCCAGUUUUCACCCCUGGAUGGUAUCACCAUCCUUUUGGUGGUUGGUCUCCCUGGUGGUCGUCUACUGUAUGGAGGAAUCAGUAUCAUAUCCGAUAUAUCUUGUGGGAUGACAUCAUCCUUCCGAUCCGCGAUAGGUAGAAUCGGUUCUUGGAAAGAAUCCAUUUAAUGUAACAUUGAAUUGUUAUAUUAAAAAACUAAUAUGUUGAUAUCCAUUUUGUUAUAUUUUUUAUGAUGUAGUUGAUGUAUGUAUGAAUGAAUGAAGCUAUUUUGAAGAUUAACGUACGCAAUUUUCAAACAGAUGAUAGUUUGUGAGGGUAAACGUACACGGUCAUAAGACAAGAUGAACAUAGUAAUAAGGAGAUAAACGUAAAGUAUUUUUCAAAAUUGGUGACGUAUCCAAAAUUAAAAACGUACAUCAUCAUACAAUCGAAAACGUACAUCAUUCUACAAACGAAAACGUACACGACUAGAAGAUGACACAUAAACAUACACUAUAUUAAUCUGAGAGUGUUAUGAAAUCUUAUAUGUAUAUUGGAUUUUUGUAAGUUUUCUUGUGAUGUUCUUCGCUUUUACAUCUUAUACAACUAUACGACAAAUAUAUUUUUCAAAAUAAAAUUGCAUCUACUACCCCGUGUUCACAUUAAAUUCAUAAUAUGGUGUACAUAUAUUAUGUACACGUACACUAGUCCAGUAAGACAUGAAAAUGCUCCUUAAUUACCCUCUAAUCCCUACCUCAAAACCUUUGACUUCAAGAAAAUGAAACAAAAGAAAGGAAAAUAUUUAUUUGGUUUUCUAAUUUAAUAAAAAUUGAACAAGAAAAUGAACAAAACGAUUUUUAUUUGGUUUUUUUUUUGUUUAUGAAUUUGAAAAUAGAAUUGAAAUUUGUAGAAAGGAAAGAGUAAACCUGGAUAGAUAGGAGCGUUUUAAGCUCUGAUACCAGAUGAUACACGAUCGGAGUCACUCCUUUCCUAUAUCAAGAGGUAGUUCAAGAAUUCAACGCGUAACGUCUUGCGGAAGUGUUGUAACGGUGGUGACGGAGUCGAAUAGUAACCAGAACUAAUCAAUUAACCAAAAAAAUGACUCAAACAAAUGCUCAAAGACUCUAACUUUGAAAGCAAACAAACUGAACUUUUAUUACUUGAAAAUUGCGUGCAUGAAAAGAACAAGGAAGAAGAGCUUAUAUAGGCUCGAGACAAAGAGACCUCCAAUGGUCAAGAAAUGAAAACAAGGAAACAAAUAUGCGAAAUAAAUGAUAUCUUGGAGAGGAUGUGAUCUUCUAGCCGUUGGGAAUAAGUAGUGGUGAUGCGUUGGUGCCGGUUAUGUAAAGAAGUGGGAGACGUCUUGGAGAAGGAGAAAUAACCUCGUGGCUUGAGUCUUCUGGUUGAAAAGGAGGCUUAGAUGUCUUGAGUGUAAGAAUGGUUCAUCAGCGAGUCCAUCAGCGAUUCCUUCAUUGAGUCCUUCAGGGAGUCCUUCAGCAAUUAGCUCAGCUAGUCCAUCAACAUGUUUUAUGUCCACAUCAUACGACCUCUCCAAACAGUUACAUCCUAAAAAUGUCUAAAUCACAUAAGUCUUAUACUAUGUACGUACACAAAAAUAUUUAUUGGAGCGUACAUGGUACAACAUUAAUUUAAUUUUUUGACAUCAAAAUUAAGUUAUUAUGUCAGUUAUUUGUAUGACUGUAUUUUUUUCAUAUGUUGUUCAUACAUGAUUUGAAUGUUUUGUUUUUAUAGUCAAAAAAUAUUUGAAACGUAAAUAUACAAAUUAUUUAGAUAUUUACGUACAUAUAUACACACACAUUACUACCGUGUACGUACACAUUACUACUGUGUACGUAUAUAUUAUUACCGUUACGCACAUAUGUGUAUAUGAUAUUGCUAAUCGUGAAUAGUCUUCGAUGAUAAUAAAUAAAAUAUUAUUUAAAAUAGAAAUAAAAAUAUGAAAAUGGGUCUGAUAGAAAAAAAAGAAUUUUAACUAAAAAUAUAAAAACAAUAAAUAUUUAUAAAAUGGAAAAGCGAAUCAUCUACUGACAAGUGUUUAAGAUUUUCAAACCACACACGGCUCUGUGUCACGUUAAAACAUACUAUUCCUAAAUGUUUUUCUUUAGUUGUGAGGUUUGUUUCUACUUCUUCUCGUAUUUGACAUAUGAUUAUGUAAAUUGCGUAACAGAGCUGGAGUUUUGUGAGUCUCAUUAGAGUCAAUUUGUGUGUUGAUUAUAGUUGAUUUCAAUUAUUUAUUGAAAACAAAUUAUUAAUAUUUUUUUAAUUGAGUUCGUAGAAAACUUGUAUGAAAUUGGUAAGAUAUUUUUGGUAGAAAUAUGUCCUUAUUUGAGUUUUUUCUAUUUACGUGUAUGUAGUUUACGGUAUACACAGUAUUGAUUAUAAAAUGGAUAUGUACUUCAGUUAUAUCAUGUACUAUUGUGGAGACGGUGUACGUAAUAUUUAUAGAGUUUGUAUUUUAGUUUUUCGACUUCAAAAUACGCUAAUAUAAACUAGAUUUACAAAAUCAAUAAAUAAAUUAAAUGUAAAAAACAAAAGAUUAUAAGAAAAUUGUGAACAGUACAUCGCAUAACUGAACCGCAUAACUGAACCGUGUACAGUGUACGUAACUAAACCGUACAGUUAACAGGACAUCGCAUAACUGAACCGCAUAACUGAACCGGAACAGUGUACGUAACUGAACCGCAUAACUGAACCGUAGAAUGAACAGUACAUCGGUACGCUGGCAGGGGUAAAAUGGUCAGAUUUUGGCUAAAUUGUCAAAACUUGAAAGCCAAUUCUCACUUUGCCAAAACAUAAAAUGAAAACUUGGUCUUAUGCCCUACCAUGCAAUUUACCCAAAAAAAUAUUGAAUGUUGAGAUCAAUAAACUUGAAGAGAUACAUAGCAUUUUCUUACCCGAUCUCCUUCCCACAGCUUCCGAACUUUGCUGUCUCGCAUUUGUAGUUCGACAAGGUUCAUCGUACAAAAAUUGAAAGGCAGACAUGUCAUCGGAUAAUAGUUCCAUUCUAGUAAUCUAAGUUUUCGAGAUAGAUAAUUCAGACUUUGCGAUAAACACGAUUUCUCACUUUGGUCACCAUAUGGACCAUUGAAUCUUAAGAAUUUAAGGUUGGUCAUUCCUUCAAAUGCUCUCUCACUUAUAAUCAUUUCACUCGACACCUUGGAUGGGUACAAAUUUAUGCCUAUAACACUACUACCAACCUGAAAAAGACCGGAAAAAGAUAGAGACCGAGGGAUGGUUAGCUAUUAAAUGUAUUUAAUUUGUACGAAGAAAGAAAGCAGAAGAACAUGAACAGAACUAACCGCAUUAUCUGAGAGUACUUCACAAAUAUCUCUAGCAUCAACCAAAAAUUGACGGUUCCAAGGCUCAAGAAUGGAUUGAUGCCCAGGCGGAUGAUGAACUAUUUCUGAGGAUGUGCGGUGUGUGAUUUGCAUGGAACCGCCUCACAAUGCUGUCCUUUUGAGAUGUUCUUCCUCCCUUAAUGGAUGUCAUCCUUACAUGUGCGACACAAGUGCUCGUCACUCCAUCUGUUUCAAGCAGUUCCUCAUAAAGUAACAAGACCUUAAACUGCCCUCUAUGCAGAGGAGAAGUCUUUGAGACAACAAAAGUGACAAGUACUACAAGUAGAUUCAUGAAUGCUAAACCGAGGUCUUGUCCUAUCGAUGAUUGCAAUUUCUCCGGGACUUAUUCCCAACUUGAUAAGCACUUGAAAUAUGAGCAUCGCGGUCUCAUCCCACCAAAGGUCGAUCCACAAAGGCAAUGGAGGUGGGAACAAAUGGAGAGACAUGUCGAAUAUGUUGACCUCAUGAGUGCAACUGAGAUUCCGCAAAACCCUGAGGUUGUACAUCAUCAACUUCCUUACACUCAUCAUCUUCCAGUGUUUCAGUUGAACAUUAUUAAUGGAACCGUGCGAAAUAUCAUUCGUCCGGUUCAUGUAAGGAACUGAUUUGGUGCCACCAACUACACUAUAAGUCACAUCCCUAGACUGCAUUUUUGACCGAUGAGUGCAGCUGGAUUCCUUGAAGGAAUCUAACAAGCUUACAUUGCUUACCAAAAACCAAAUAUAUAUUAUGAUUUUGUUCGAAGCUUAACGUCUCAGUAUAUAUAUUUUUAGUUAAUUUGGAUCUAGAAUAUUAAAGGGAAAUUUGGAUAUAAAGGAUAAAUAAUUUAAUUAUUAUCCAUCUAUGCAUUCUAUAUUCAUAAUUGAUCAUAUAUGCUUUAAUAUUGGUCAUAUAUGCUUUAAUAUAAUUAAAAUCCCAUUUUAUCCCUAGUUUUUUUAAAUCGUGCUAAACUAUAAAAAAUUUCCAAAAUUAAUUAGAUUUCUUUCUAAAAACUAUUUGGAGAAAAUAUAGGGCAAAAAAAUAUUUAUUUACUUACCAAAUUUUUUUGCCUAGAUAAUUCCAAAUCUUCUUCUUGUUUGAUUUUUUUUUUACGUUAACUUCUUCUUCAAUUCUUUGACGGCAACUUCUUCUUUGAUUUUCUCUUUUGGUAGUUUUUUGAAUUUUUUCAAUUCUUGGGAGCUUGUAUAUCCAGAUAAGAAGAACGAAACGAGAAGAAGAAGAAAUAAGAAACAAAAGAAGAGACGUCAAAGUGGAAAAUAGACUAGGGUAAUCUAUUCACUUAUGUAUAAAGCAUUCUAAACUAAUUAGAAUGCAUGUUCUAAAAUUUGUAGACGUAAUCUUAACCUUAAUAUUCAAUUUUAUCAGAUGUAAUAUUAACAACAUUCAAUUUCUUUAUUUAAAGAUUUAUUUUCCUUUUUUAAAAAGAAAUUCUAAAUUAUAUAGAAUUUGUUUUCUAUUUUUUGUAGAAUAUAUAGGAAAAUAUAAGAAUAUGUUUUCUAACAAUUUUAGAAAAUGGGUAAAUGUUAGAAAAGAUAUUCUAAUUUUUUUAGAAGAAAGAGCAAAGUAUAGAACAUGUAUUCUAAAUUUCGUAGAAAUUAGCUAUCUAAAUACCGUACGUAGAACAGAAAUGCUUUCUAAAUUCCGUAGAACAUGUAGAGUGCAUAAAAUACAUUAUCUAAAUUUUAUAGAACAUGUGCAAUGUGUAGAAUACACAUUCUAAAUUCAGAAUGUGUAUUCUAAACUUCGUAGAUCAUAUUUUAUUUAUCCAAAACGGCAACAAAAUGACAUAUUUUCGACAUUAUAAGUAUCCUCAUGACUUCUUUUUCAUUUGCCUACAAAUUGUUCUAAAUUUUAAUUGAAAAACUAGUUAAACCAACUACAAAGGGUAAAUUAGGAAUAUGUGAUAUUUAGUCAUAGAAUGCAUAAAUGGACAAUAGUUUAAUUAUUUAUUCUUUAUAUCCAAUUUUCCCUUUAAAAUUCAAUAUUUAGGUUACUAUAUAGCGAAUUUCUAAGCUCAUAUCUUACCUUCCAAAGUUUUGUUUAAUAAUAUCUUAAUGCAAAAUAUAUAUAAGUAUACCAUCUAUUCACUAAAAUACACUAAUAUUUUGGAUACAAGAAAGACAUGAAUUACUUUUCUAAUUUACCAAUCAAAAUACUAAUAUUGAAAUUAAGAAUUUAUUUUUAAAAUAAAAAUAAAUUCUUAAAAAAUCCUAUAAAAAAAAAACUGAAAACUCUCUUAAAUUAAAUAUUAAAAUUCAGAUUCAUACGAAAUUUUUUAUUUACUUUUAAUUAUUUUUUUAUAAAAUUAAAUAAUUUGGAGUAAGAUAUAUGAAUAACAUAUUAUCUUUUGGAGAAUUUAUUAAGAAAUUUUAGAGAAUUUUCAAAAUAAUUUUCAAGAAUAUUAACAGUGUUAAGGAGCUUCUAAUUCUACAAAUGUAUGAGAAUUCUACAAAAUAAUUUUCUUUGGUUUUGGAGCUUCUAAUUCUACAAAUGUUCUUGUUUUAGGUGCCAAAGAUGACUUCAUAGUGGUAAGAACUAAGAACGCACCCUCCUUUGUCUUUCUAACCAAACCAGAAAGUUUUUCAAUAUUGGUACUGUAUUAGACCGAAACUGGUUAUGGUUUUGCAGGAUGAUGGGGGGCUGAAGGAAACCGGGCGGUUUUUAUGAGGUUGAACCGGUUUGUAUUGAAGGUGUUGCUCAUGACAUGAUGCUAGAUUGUUCAUGGGAGAAAGGUUCUGAGGUUCUUUUAAGUUGGCUUUGUGGUUUGUCUAAACCGGGAAAUUUAUCUGCUUAACGGACUAUUUUUGUAGAUAGCUGCUUCUCUUUUUAUUUUUAUUUCAGGUAAAAGAAAGAAACGAGAAAUGUUGAUUUAGUUUGUAGAUAGUAAAGAUGAUCAGUGUGGGAUUGGGAAAAAAAUCAAAAUUGCAAGUUUGUAUGACAUUAAGAGAAUCUCAUUAUCUCAGAGAAAAUGAAUAAAAAUGCCAGAAAAUGCCUAUCACACCAAGACUCACAUUGUCUCAUGAUUUUUGCCAUAUCCAUUGAGUAGCGUCCGUUGCGGUAUUGAUUUUCAAGCCAUAUUUUCAGCUUCGAUUUGGAUUUCUCCAUUCCCGGAGGCGGUCCGGCGGACUCCUGGUGAGAGCUCAUGGUUCGUCGAAGAUUUCUUCAAGGUCGACAAAAUUAUCUCUACAAAAAUCAAAGAGAGGCCCAAAUUCAAAAACUGAGAAACUGAGAAAGAUGAGAUUGUUUUACCUAAAAUCCUAUCGGAGAUGUCAAACGGUUGUUGAAAUGGAAGAAAUUGGCGGCAACGAAGAUGAGAUAAAAAGUUGUCAAUAUAUUUUUACCUCGUCAUCAGCUUCUUCGUCAUGGAGGAUUUUUUUGUUUUGCUUGCUGGAGAUCAGUUAAUCAGUGUUUUGUUCUUCUCUGAAGUCUCAGGACAUGGUGGCUUUGUGUUGUGGGUCCCAACCAAGUCUUGAGUUGCUUUUUCCAUCACAUUAAUGAACUUAGAGUUGGAGUACUCCACAUUCUUUUAUCACCGCUUUGUUACCCUCGAUGUCGAACGAAAAUAUAAGCUCGUUGGACGUUACAUCAGCUUCAAACUCAAAGAUGAGCAAAUGCUUUCUUAAAAUGGGAGGCACGGGAAAGCAAUAUUCAGGUCUCCAUGAAACAUUACCGCCAAUUUUAUCUAUCUCCCUGAUAUAAAACUGUGUUCCUAUCAGCGGCCUCCUCCUCCCUGUCAACUUUUUUAUCCAGCAAGACGCAAGCCCUAAAUCUCAAGGUUGUAGGAAGAGCCCUUUGAUUCAAAUUUACCAUUAUGGAACUUCCAACAUUAGCUCGGUAAGUGAAGUUUGCGGGCACUUCUCUACCGGGUAAGAACGCAAAGGUACUAUUAGUCUGGAUGAAUUCUCUCGCUUCAUUAUUCAGCUUGAAGCAAUUAACAAACCUGAGACUUAUUACUGGAUGAUUGUGAAAGGAGAAAUCAAGUCUCUCCAGUGACUGGCAAUUUAUGGCUGUUACUUUUAAUAUGGAAUCUGAAAGUUGUGGGAGUGUUACCAGCCUCUUGCAUCCCUCUAGUACAAGUGUCUGAAGACGAGAGAUUUUCUUAAUCCACAGAGGAAUUUCUUGUAUUUCUGUAUCGUUAAAGUAAAGCUUUGUGAUGAUAUCGAGAGCAUGUGGGAAUUCCUUGAGAUUGUCAUUGUAUGACAUUUCCAAUUUACGAAGAAGAGACCAUGACUUGAUCGUCGAAGGCACCUUUUUUACUGCAGUUUUCAUGAGCUUGAGAACCGUAAUGUUUGUAGAGAUCUCCGGAAAUCUUUUGAUCAGUAAGCAAUCAGUGAGAUCAAGGUAAUAGAGAGAUUCCAAGUUGAUAUUAGUAGGAAGAGCCUCUAGCUUUGAGCAUCCUCGUAAAUUCAAUAUUCGCAAUUUCUGAAGGUUUCCAAGAGAGGAGGGGAGCUCCGCCAAACUUGAGCAUCCAAACAGAGUCAAUUUCUCAAGGUUAGUGGCAGUUGAGAGAUUAGGUAACUCUUUUAGGUGUUUAGACUCACCCAAAACCAUCCUCUUGAGAUUUCCAAGGGGCUGCAGAAACAAAUAAAGACAACAUAAGAAGACGCAUUAAAAAUAAAUUCAAAUAAUAACUGAAAAAUUAAAUUCUUUGUUCAUACAACUUAUACAUAUAGUUCCUCCCUUUCCACCAAUGAUACUAACCAUGGAGGGAUACUACAAUUUAAGCAAGCAUAAUAAAGACUACAAGAGAUAGCCUUCUAAGAAGAUCACUCCUUUUUGACCCAAUAUUUUAAAAUUGGAGAGAAACACAACAAUUUUGUACCUGAUUUCCUUGCCACAUGUUCUGAAGUUUGCUGUUCCUCAUAUGUAGCUGGACUAGGUACUUCGUACAAAAAUUGGAAGGCAAACAUUUCAUUGGAAAACGAAACCAUUCUAGUAUUCUAAGUUUCCGAGGUAGAUUAUUCAAACCUUGCGGUAAGUACAAUUUAUCGCUUUCGCCAUGGAAUCUUAAGAACUUGAGGUUAGACAUUCCUUCAAAAGCUCUCUCACUGAUAUUUAAUUCGCCUGAUAGGGUAUAUACCUCGAAAAGUAUACCUAUAACAUUUCUACUACCCUGUAAAAAGACCAAAGAAGAUAGAAAACGAGAGAUAAUUAGCUAUUGAAUGAAUUUAAUUUGUAGAGAACAAGGAAACAAGAGAAUAAUAAUAGAACUAACCGUGUUAUCAGUGAGUACUUCACAAAUAUCUCUAGCAUCAACCAAAAAUUGACGCUUCCCAGGCUCACGAAUGGAUUGGUGCCCAGGCUUAUGACGGACAAUGUCUCUACCUAAUUGCACUAAUAGAUUGUGCAUCUUUAUACGUGUAUGGUUAGUAGAAAAAAUCUCAAUAGCUAUGAGAGAUUUCUCAGCUAAGAGGUGAAGCCCUUGCCUCACAUCUAAGAAACUUGAAGCAAGAUAAUCUUCCACUCUCACCAUUUCUUCAUCGUUGAAAAGGCAGGCUAUAUGAAGGAAUAAAUCUUUAUCUUCUUCACAUAAGGCAUCGUAACUGAACUUUAAAAUGCUUUGAAUACUAGCAUCAAGGCGAAUCUUUAACCUUGGUAAUGCAUUUACCCACUCAUGCCUAGACAUUCCCCGGAAGUGGGAUCCCAUAACUCUUAGUCCCAAAGGUAGAUUACCUAAAAGUUUUGUAACUUGCCACGCAAGCUCCUCAAAACCAUCUUUAGGGAAGUUUUGGCCAAAAGCAUACAUACAAAAGAUCUGAUAAGCUUCAUAUGCUGAUGGAAACUCCACCUUGUAAAUAUGGUUGAUGCCAUGUGCCUUCAAAAGCCGUUGGUCUUGUGUUGUGAUGAUAAUCCGACUUCCAUGACCGAACCACCGAGUUUCUUUUGCGAUAGCAUCUAGUUGUAUUGAUUGAUCAAUGCUAUCAAGAACAAUAAGCACUCUCUUGUCGUUCAACCUAUCUUGUGCAACUCCUAAAUGAGGAAGCUCCAUAUCCUUGUGGUUGAUUAUUUGGGACAAAAAUUGUUUCUGUAACUGAAUCUUUGCGCUAUACUCAUCAGAACACACAGGUCUUGUAUACAUCAACUCUUUGAUAUUCUCCAUGAAGAUACUCAAUUCAAAAUUUUCAGAAAAUUGGCUAUACAAGACUCUGGCAAUUGUAGUCUUCCCUAUCCCAGACGGACCCCAAAUCCCAAUCAUCCUUACUUCAUCAGAGUCUAGGCAUAACAACGAUUCCAUUUCUUUCAUAUGAGCUCCCAUUCCAAUUAAACCGUCAAAAUCUCUUGACGGUGAGUAUCUAUUCAGCAUGUCUGAAACAUCAGUGGCGAUUUUUUCAGUCAUGGCUGCUUCAUUAUCCCUAACAAAUGAAGUGACCAAUUUAUACAUCGAUUAAUAUUUACAAAAAAUUUCACAUACACAUCCAAAAAUUAUGUAUUGAUUGUCUUGAUAUUCUUUAAAAACUACCAAUAAAUAUAGUUUGAUGUGUUAAUAAAAUAUUAGCCAGGGCAAGUAUAAAUCAAGAAAGCUAACCAGUUACGGGAAUGCUCCCCAGCGAUUGUUGCCACAGACUCCAAAACGUUUUGCCAUCUCUUAAUGUCCUCUUUGGUUUUACCUUUACACGUUUUCUUGAAGACCUUCCCAAAAUCUCCUGUCUGCUUCUUUACGUCUGUUGGAUCAACAUCAUAGAAAAUGGUCAUCACUGUUUGACCCAGUUCUUCUCUACACUUCAUGAUCUCCACCAACUCGUUUAGGCACCAAGACGAAGAAGCGUAGUUCCUCGAGAGCAAGACGAUCGCGAUCUUUGAUCCUCUGAUAGCUUCUAUGAGCUCAGGACCGAUAGACUUGCUCCUCUCGAUAUCAUUAUCAAUGAAUGGACUGAUUCCCUUUCCUUUGAACUCUUUUAGGAUGUGAGCAAGAAAUGUUUUUCGAACAUCUGCCCCGUGGAAGCUUGGGAAGACAUCGUGUUUCCGUUUUCGAGACAAAGAAGAUGAAGUAGAUGAAAUAGAUAAAGAAGAAGAAGAAGAAGCUAUUGUUUUGUUUUCUUGAUGGGAUUUGACUUUUUUAUAAAACAUGAAAAAUAUUGUACCCAAAAUCGUGAAGAAAGUUAUGGCAGCAACACAAAAACUAGAGAGAAAAGCAGAAUCCAUCUGAGUAUGAUGAAGAGAAGAUCAAUAUCUCAAAGCUUGUCAGAAAACAAUUUUUUCUUAGCCUAAUCUUUUUUUUUUUUGGAUAAGGUUCAUUUUACACCAUACAUCACAUAUUUAUACUCUUAGACUAGAUAUUAACCCGCGGUACACCGCGGGUCUAUAUUUUCCUUAAAUAAAAAAAUGAGUUUUUUAGGAUGACCUAUAGAUAUAUGGUAAACCGCAUGUCAAUAUUUUAUAAUUAAAAAAUCAAAAUUUAAGUUGUAUUUGUUUUGUUUAGUGUUUAAGAUUGUAUAAUUGUAUUUUGAUCGCUAAUUCUAGGAUUUCAACCGUAAUAUACCAUCCCAUAUUAAUAUCGACCUAAAUCCGUCCCACUAUAUAACUUCGUCCCUUGAAAUUAAACAUCAUUUUUGUAAUUUUUUUUAUAAAUUUCAAAUAUUUCAAAUAUUUGAAACUUCAUAAAAGUUUUAAUACGACCCAAACUUCAUAAUUGUAUUUUGAUUGUUAUAUCAAGGUUUCACCUGUAGUAUACCGUCUCGUAUUAAUAUCUUUUAUAAAUAUUUAUAAUGUUUAAACUUCUUAUAAAUUCUUAUAAAAUUCAAAUAUUUAUAAUAUUUGAAAAAUCAUAAAAGUUAUAAUAUUAUAAAUAAUUAAAACGUUUAAUAAAGUUAGACUUUUUUAAAAGUUUAAAUAAUUAUAAUAUUUAAUUUUUUAAUAAAUUUUAAAUAUUUGGAUCGACAUUUAUACUAUAUACUAUAUAAAUUAGAGUUUAUGAGUUUAAUAAGUAUACUUUAAUAAGAAUUAUUACAGUAAUAAAAUUUACAAUCAAUUAUAUAUGUCUUACAAUUUGGAUGUAUGAAAUUGUUGAUCUCAUUUGUAAGCAUGAGUGGAAUUAAAAACAUUUGGGUUAUAGUUUGUAUUUUCGUUUUUUAUUUUUUCUUUUAAGUUUUUUAAAAAUCAAUGCUAUCAAACUGUAGUUAUCUUAUAUAUAUAUAUAUAUAUAUAUAUAUAUAUAUAUAUAUAUAUAUAUAUUAAGAUUAUCAUUAAACAUGAAGAUUUACCUAUAAAAAAUAGGGUGAAUAAAAAAAAAAAAACAUAUGAAAGAAUCUGACGUAAAUUUAAAGCAUAUGCUCUUGAUAAUGGCAAUCAUCAAUGGGUUGCUCAUCUUGUAUAGGAUUAUCUGCGCAAGACAUCAAAUGUUUAUUAAAUUCAUGAAUCAGAAAAAUGAAAGUUCAUAUAACAAAUAAAGAUUGGAAUGGGUAAGAAGAGGUAUUUGUUUGAUGAGUCUUCUAGUCGAGUAAAAGUGUGGUAUUUAUAGGGUAGGUAGGCGUCUAGAUUUAUUGUUAAGGUAGUUUGAUAAUAUCUUGGAGAGAAAGUAGAAAAUCAAAGAUAUUAUAUACAACGAAAGUUUAGGAUAUGUUUAAGGAAAGAUUAGGAAAUCGUUAUAUACAAAAUUUAUUUGAAAAAGAUUGUAAAUGAUUUGGUUUUGUAGAGAAUCUUACAAAAAAGCUAAGCAACCAUUUAAAAGGAAUAUAGCCGAUUAAUGUGGUAAUUAGUUUAGGAAAUCACAUUAAACCGAAUUAAAAAAAUAAUUAUAGUCAUAACUUUGUUUCUUAAAAUCAAAUGUUAAGAAAAAUAUCGAAGAGUAUAUAAUUAUGGUAUCAUCGUUGAGAUUUUCUUGGGCGGGAAUUAUGGAUUCAAUUAGAGAAGGGAACCAUAUAAUGGAAAGAAUUUAAUUAGCCAUAAUUAUAUUUUAAAAAUAUUUUAUUGCAUAAUAUAAAGAGAAUAUAGAUGAUAUAUGGUAUGUGGAUGUAAUUAGUUAAGAUGACAUAAAUAUUCGAAAAUCAUCUCGAGAUAAAGAGGAAUAUAGCCUAUUAAUAUGGGAAGAAGUUAAGGAAUAAGGAAACAUAAAUAUAUGUGUAAUUAUCUAUAUUAAUGACGUUUUUUGGUUAGAGAUAUGUAGAAUAGGAAAAUCGAAAAUGAUAAUUUGGUAUUAAUUAAAUGCUAUCAAAUAUCUCGGAGAUUUUAUUUUAGAAACUAAUCGUGGACUAAGCAGAGAUUUUUGCAAGAUUCGUAAACGGAAAAUCUUUAAUGCUACUAUUGAUAAAAAGGAAUAGAACCAAUUAAUGUGGGAAGUAGUUAAGGAAAUAAGAUUAAAACGAAUUGUAUGUUUAAUUUAGUCUUAAAUGUCGUUUUUAUUACAAAUUUCCUUAAAUCUAUUAUCUAGGAUCCAAACAAAUUAAAACCGGGUCAAAACCCGGAUCCAAAUGAAUUAAAGCAAAAAAAUACUGCUAAAAAAUGUAUAUGUAGAUAUAACUUAUGGUUUUUGUACCCUUAACAGACCCAAUAACAUUAAUGGCCAAACAUGAACUAAUGGCCCAAUACACAUCUUCUUCUUCCUCCUUCCAUUGUCGACACUUCUACUUCUCUUCUCAACAUGAGACUUCUUCUCUUCUUUCUUAGUCUUCUUCUCUUCUCAAUAGAGUGAAUUCCAACAGUCAGAAAGCAAUCUGUGAAGAAAUUGAAAGGGCUUUUUCGUUGGUUGAAUCUGGAAAAUGCUUUUAUUGAGAUAGGCACAAAGGAACCUUCAAAGAACAUUAUAUCCACUUGGAAUUAAACCAAACUCAAAUAUUCAAUAAUAUGUAUAUAAUGGAGGUAAAUUAAUAAUAACUUAAAGAUGUUAAGAGAUUUUGAUAAUUCCUAAAAAUUUGAGGUUCUUUUAUAUAAUAUUCCCUCCGUUUUAUAUAAUACUAUUUAAUCUCUUGGAAGAAAAAUAAUUUAAUCCUGUUAAUUUUCUUGGAAAAAGAAUAAUGAAUGCCGAAGUUUGGAACGAAAGUGAUGCAGGGUUUAUAAUUUGUAAUCAUGUAUAUUUUCUUAGAAAAGGAUUUUAACGCUAAAAUGGAGCGAUGAUCAAUGUUAGACCAAAAUUGCAGACGUUAGGGCUUGAUUGGUUCUCCCGCUAGGACCCUCCUAGCGGUUGCUAGCCCCGUUCGAAAACGCGGCCUCCGCGGCCGCCUAAGCGGCGAUUAAGCGUUCGGCGGACCGUGGCCGCCGGGAUUUGUCUAAAUCGGGUAGUUAAUCGGAAAAAUCAUUUUUUUUGUAGUUUAUGGUUAAAGAUUUUAUUAUACAUGUCAGAUGUAUCAUAUUUGUGCAAAAACAAGAACAAAAACAAGUUAAAAAUGAUGUUUACUGUAUGAAAAACGAGCAGCCGCCAUUAUUAGGGUUAGAAAGUCGUCAACCUUAUGUGAAAAGAUGAUUGUCUAAUGUCUGUUUUACCCUUCAUUUAAGGAUAAGUCAAAAAAAAGAAUUAAAAUGAGAUUUGAGGACUCGAACUCGGGAAUAUAUGUGCAGAAUAUCUGCCGUAACCACUACACCAAAGAGACUUUCAAUGGUUUUUAAACAAAUAAAUUAUAUAUAUACACACAUUUAGAUAAAUGCCCUAAAACUAAUCCCCGAUUAAUUUCCGUGUAAUCCCCGAUUAACCGAUUAAUCGCUAGGCCCGGCUCGAGCGCCCGACUAACGCCUAGCGAUUUUUUGAACAAGGGUUGUUAGCGGUCAGUUGCGGUUGUUAGCGGUUGGUCCCAAUCAUAGAAAUCGCUCCGUACCGCUUCAAACCGUUCGAAAUCGCUGAAUUUCAAAAGCUCCUUCCGCAAGCGUUUGCGGUUGCAGGCGGUAGCGGUUGGAUUUAAAAAAAAAAAAAAUCAAAUGUUUACUUAUAAUUAUUAUAAAAUAUAUGAAUCCUAUAUAUAUCUUUCAUCUUUGUAUCAUGUUCUCAUCAGAAACCCUAAUCAAUAUUCUAAAACCCUAUUUUCUCAAUGUCUUCCACCCAAACUAAUGAAAAUCAAGAACCAAACGUAAGUAUCAUAUAUCAUUUUAUUCAUUCAUCACCUCAUGUGUAACUCUUUGAAUAUUUUUCAUGGCAUCAUUUUUUUCUUUUCAUUAUGUAUUGCUUUGCUUUUUGAUUGAAUAUAUGUUUCGAUUUGUUUUCUCGAAUAGAAAAUCACUUGCUUUUUGAUUGAAUUCAACGCUAUUUACAGUUUGUCUCAUUAAUUGAUGCAAUUUUUGGUGUUAACCCAGCAUAAACUACUAUCUUAUUACAAACUUUCUUUAGUUUUGAAUAAUUAUUUAGUACUUUAUUAUGGUUUUAAUUAUUAAGCAUGCUCAUUUUUUCUAAUAUUAUCAUAAUAAUAUAUUGGUGUUUUAAUUUCUUUUUUUGUAAUAUUUUUUUAUUUUUUUGGUCAUUUUUUUAUUUAACUGCUACCGCACCCGCUGGUUUACCAGUCAUAAAACUCCCGCAAACCCAUCCAUUUUCAAACGCUAAACCAGUCGUUCAAAACGCUUGAUAACGCUUGAAACCGCAACCGCCCGCUUCCGCAAACUCCCGCAACCGCAACCGCAACCGCUGCGUUUAAACCAAUGAAAUACGAAGGUAAGACGCAUAUUACUUAGCCACAAGUCAAACAAAUAUAUAUAAAAAUGACAUUUAAAAAAAUUAUUACAACUUCUCGAAGUAAAGACAAAUGCUAAAUAGCGGUCAGUCUCCUUAAGACCAAACGCAGUGGAGCAAUCAAGCCUCGGGUGUUAGUAAUAAACAAAUGAGAAAUAAUGCAAAUUUCGGCUAAGACACAAAACACGGGUGUAAGUUUACAUCCGGGUGUAGAAGCGACGUGGCAGAGUUUGGUUGGUGGAUACAUGUGAGAAUACUGAAGUCGUUGUUUCCUCCACUCAUUUUAGAGCUGGACAAGCUUCUCAUUGAUGGUUGGUGACAUUAUUUUAUUAAUAUAUCACCACUCACACCUACACUCUCACAUGCACCAUUGUGGAUGCUCUAAGGGGUAUCGAUUACGUGUAAAACCUAAUUUUAUUUUUUUAUAAAGUAGGUGUAGAAUAUAGAGAUUAUUUUUAUAAGUUUUUGGAUCCUCUGAUUUGUAUUAUUUUAUAAGUCAAGGUGAAUUUGAAGACCGAAGACAUUGAAAACUAGAUAUAGGGAUUACGAUGAAAACGUAAUGGAGAGAACGCAAUGGAAAGAGAAAUGGUGAGAGAUCAAUUCCAGCCACGCAACUCAUCAUUUGGAUAGACAAACAAAUUUGAAACCAACUUUCAGAGAGAUUCGAACGGCCAGAGAUACGAACCAUGUCUCCAUGCCGACAAGAGAUAUGAACCAUGCUUCUAGAAGUUUUUUUGCCGACAAGAGAUAUGAACCAUGUAUAUUCAUAGAAAUGAGUUGCGUUUUUCAUGAUCAGGUGUAAGAAUGCCUAUACGAUGACCGAUGAGUUUGUUGUUUCGAUUCCAGGAAUGGAAAAUGCGUUUCCAGAACUUUCAGGGGCUGUACUUGUUUGCUCGGUUCCACCUUCGGGUAAUAGGUAAACUUCUCACAACCUAUUGGCUAUUUCCUAUAUCAGUGAACUUCUUCGUUUAGCUUAUAUAUAACUUCCGGGACUCUCUUUGUUGUUCAGUGGCUUAGUGUUACGUUAUCUCUUCUCUAAACCUGUGGCUGCUUUUAAGGUAAAACUCUUUAGCUGUAUCUUGCAAGGAUGAUCUCAGUGUCAUGUUCUAUUUGUUUAGCAAUGUUUGUUCUUGGUUAUGUUCUUGAGUAGGUUACUCUCAGUUUAGCUGCUAAAGGUUUUCAGAAAUCUAUUCCUCUUUGUCGAGAAACAUUCUUCUCUCAAGCUAUGGAUGAUCAACUUGUGAAGCGGUAUACCUUUAAUCUAGCUCAAUAGUCACCUUGAAUCUAAAAUAAAGUUUCAGUAAUCUAAACAAAUUGUCUCUCUCUUUUCUUGAUUCAGUUACCAGGAUCUUAUGAUAGAGAGUUCACGGAUGCCGCUGUUUGAUCUGAGGAAGCUAAACGCAUCACUUCCAGUACCAAAACCAAUGGAAAAUUCUACAAAUGUUCUUGUUUUAGGUGCCAAAGAUGACUUCAUAGUGGUAAGAACUAAGAACGCACCCUCCUUUGUCUUUCUAACCAAACCAGAAAGUUUUUCAAUAUUGGUACUGUAUUAGACCGAAACUGGUUAUGGUUUUGCAGGAUGAUGAGGGGCUGAAGGAAACCGGGCGGUUUUAUGAGGUUGAACCGGUUUGUAUUGAAGGUGUUGCUCAUGACAUGAUGCUAGAUUGUUCAUGGGAGAAAGGUUCUGAGGUUCUUUUAAGUUGGCUUUGUCUAAACCGGGAAAUUUAUCUGCUUAACGGACUAUUUUUGUAGAUAGCUGCUUCUCUUUUUAUUUUUAUUUCAGGUAAAAGAAAGAAACGAGAAAUGUUGAUUUAGUUUGUAGAUAGUAAAGAUGAUCAGUGUGGGAUUGGGAAAAAAAUCAAAAUUGCAAGUUUGUAUGACAUUAAGAGAAUCUCAUUAUCUCAGAGAAAAUGAAUAAAAAUGCCAGAAAAUGCCUAUCACACCAAGACUCACAUUGUCUCAUGAUUUUUGCCAUAUCCAUUGAGUAGCGUCCGUUGCGGUAUUGAUUUUCAAGCCAUAUUUUCAGCUUCGAUUUGGAUUUCUCCAUUCCCGGAGGCGGUCCGGCGGACUCCUGGUGAGAGCUCAUGGUUCGUCGAAGAUUUCUUCAAGGUCGACAAAAUUAUCUCUACAAAAAUCAAAGAGAGACCCAAAUUCAAAAACUGAGAAACUGAGAAACUGAGAAACUGAGAAAGAUGACGAACCAUGAGCUCACAUGGUGGCUUUGUGUUGUGGGUCCCAACCAAGUCUUGAGUUGCUUUUUACAUCACAUUAAUGAACUUAGAGUUGGAGUACUCCACAUUCUUUUAUCACCGCAUCGUUACCCUCGAUGUCGAACGAAAAUAAAAGCUCGUUGCACGUCACAUCAGCUUCAAACUCAAAGAUGAGCAAAUGCUUUCUUAAAAUGAGGGGCACGGGAAAGCAAUAUUGAGGUCUCCGUGAAACAUCGACGCCAAUUUUACCUUUCUCUGUUAUUCUAGGAAAUACAAUUGUUUCCUUAGCGGCGGCCUCCUCCUUGUCAUUGUCAACUUUUUUAUCCAACAAGACGCAAGCCUUUGAUUCAAAUUUACCAUUAUGGAACUCCCAUUAGCACGGCGGUAAGUGAUGUUUGCGGGCACUUCUCUACCGGGUAAGAACGCUAAGGUACUACUACUAGUCUGGAUGAAUUCUCUCGCUUCAUUAUUCAGCUUGAAGCAAUUAAUAAACCAGAGAAAUAUUUCUGGAUGAUUGUGAAAGGAGAAAUCAAGUCUCUCCAGUGACUGGCAAUUUAUGGCUGCUACUUUUGAUAAGGAAUCUGAAAGUUGUGGGAUUGUUACCAGCCUCUUGCAUCCCUCUAGUACAAGUGUCUGAAGACGAGAGAUUUUCUGAACCCACAGAGGAAUUUCUUGUAUUUUUGUAUCGUUAAAGUAAAGCUUUGUGAUGAUAUCGAGAGCAUGUGGGAAUUCCUUGAGAUUGUCAUUGUAUGACAUUUCCAAUUUACGAAGAGGAGACCAUGACUUGAUCGUCGAAGGCACUUCUUUUACUGCAGUUUUCAUGAGGUUGAGACGCUUAAUGUUUGUGGAGAUCUCCGGAAAACUUUUGAUCAGUAAGCAAUCAGCGAGAUCAAGGUAAUCGAGAGAUUCCAAGUUGAUAUUAGUUGGAAGAGCCUCUAGCUUUGAGCAUCCUCGUAAUAGUAACACUUGCAAUUUCUGAAGGCUUCCAAUAGAGGAGGGGAGCUCUGGCAAACUUGAGCAUCCAUACAGAAUCAAUUCUUCAAGGUUAGUGGCAGUUGAGAGAUCAGGUAACUCUUUUAGGUGUUUCGACUCACGCAAAUCCAUCCUCUUGAGAUUUCCAAGUGGCUGCACAAACAAAUAAAGACAACAUAAGGAGACACAUUAAAAUUAAAUUCAAAUAAUAACGGAGUGUCUUUUAUAUUGACUGAAAAAUUAAAUUCUUCGUUCAUACAACUUAUACAUAGUUCCUCCCUUUUCACCAAUGAUACUAGCCAUGGAGGGAUACUACAAUGUAACCAAGCAGAAUAAAGAUUUCAAUAGAUAGCCUUCUAAGAAAUAAUACCGGAAGAUCACUCCUUCUUGACUCCUAAUAUAUGUAAGAAAAACAAACCCAAUAAUAUUACAAAAUUGGAGAGAAACACAACAAUUAUGUACCUGAUUUCCUUGCCACAUGUUCUGAAGUUUGCUGUUCCACAUAUGUAGCUGGACUAGGUACUUCGUACAAAAAUUGGAAGGCAAACAUUUCAUUGGAAAACGAAACCAUUCUAUUAUUCUAAGUUUCCGAGGUAGAUUAUUCAAACCUUGCGGUAAGUACAAUUUAUCGUUUUCACCUUCAUAUGGGCCAUGGAAUCUUAAGAAUUUAUGGUUAGACAUUCCUUCGAAACCUCUCUCACUGAUAUUUAAUUGGCCUGAUAGGUUUUCUACCUCCAAAAGUAUACCUAUAACAUUUCUACUACCCUGUAAAAAGACCAUAACAGAUAGAAAACCAGAGAUAAUUAGCUAUUGAAUGAAUUUAAUUUGUAAGGAAGCAAGAGAAUAGUAAUAUAACUAACCGUGUUAUCAGUGAGUACUUCACAAAUAUCUCUAGCAUCAACCAAAAAUUGACGCUUCCCAGGCUCACGAAUGCAUUGGUGCCCAGGCUUAUGACGGACAAUGUCUCUACCUAAUUGCACUAAUAGAUUGUGCACCUUUAUACUUGUAUGGUUAGUAGAAAGAAUCUCAAUAGCUAUGAGAGAUUUCUCAGCUAAGAGGUGAAGCCCUUGCCUAACAUCUAAGAAACUUAAAGCGAGAUAAUCUUCCACUUUCACCAUUUCUUCAUUGUUGAAAAGGCAGGCUAUAUGAAGAAAUAAAUCUUUAUCUUCAUCACAUAAGGCAUCGUAACUGAACUUUAAAAUGCUUUGAAUACUAGCAUCAAGGCGAAUCUUUAACCUUGGUAAUGCAUUUACCCACUCAUGCCUAGGCAUUCCUCGGAAGUGGGAUCCCAUAACUCUUAGUCCCAAAGGUAGAUUACCUAAAAGUUUUGUAACUUGCCACGCAAGCUCCUCAAAACCAUCUUUAGGGAAGUUUUGGCCAAAAGCAUACAUACAAAAGAUCUGAUAAGCUUCAUAUGCUGAUGGAAACUCCACCUUGUAAAUAUGGUUGAUGCCAUGUGCCUUCAAAAGCCUUUGGUCUUGUGUUGUGAUGAUAAUCCGACUUCCAUGACCGAACCACCGAGUUUCUUUUGCGAUAGCAUCUAGUUGUAUUGAUUGAUCAAUGCUAUCAAGAACAAUAAGCACUCUCUUGUCGUUCAACCUAUCUUGUGCAACUCCUAAAUGAGGAAGCUCCAUAUCCUUGUGGUUGAUUAUUUGGGACAAAAACUGUUGCUGUAACUGAAUCUUUGCACUAUACUCAUCAGAACACACUGGUCUUGUAUACAUCAGCUCUUUGAUAUUCUCCAUGAAGAUACUCAAUUCAAAACUUUCAGAAAAUUGGCUAUACAAGACUCUGGCAAUGGUAGUCUUCCCUAUCCCAGAUGGACCCCAAAUCCCAAUCAUCCUUACUUCAUCAGAGUCUAGGCAUAACAACGACUCCAUUUCGUUCAUAUGAGCCCCCAUCCCAAUGAAACCGUCAAAAUCUCUUGACGGUGAGUAUCUAUUCAGCAUGUUUGAAACAUCAGUGGCGAUUUUUUUAGUCAUGGCUGCUUCAUUAUCCCUAACAAAGGAAGUGACCAAUUUAUACAUCGAUUAAUAUUUAUAAAAAAAAUUCUCUCACACAUCCAAAAUUUAUGUAUUGGUUGUCUUGAUAUUCUUGAAAAUCUAUCAAUAAAUAUAGUUUGAUGUGUUAAUAAAAUAUUAGUAAGGGCAAGUAUAAAUCAAGAAAGCUAACCAGUUACGGGAAUGCUCCCCAGCGAUUGUUGCCACAGCCUCCAAAACGUUUUGCCAUCUCUUAAUGUCCUCUUUGGUUUUACCUUUACACGUUUUCUUGAAGACCUUCCCAAAAUCUCCUGUCUGCUUCUUUACGUCUGUUGGAUCAACGUCAUAGAAAAUGGUCAUCACUGUUUGACCCAACUCUUCUCUACAAUUCAUGAUCUCCACCAACUCGUUUAAGCACCAAGACGAAGAAGCGUAGUUCCUCGAGAGCAAGACGAUCGCGAUCUUCGAUCCUUUUAUAGCUUCUAUGAGCUCAGGACCGAUAGACUUGCUCCUCUCGAUAUCAUUAUCAAUGAAUGGAACGAUUCCCUUUCCUUUGAACUCUUUUAGGAUGUGAGCAAGAAAUGUUUUUCUAACAUCUGCCCCGUGGAAGCUUGGGAAGACAUCGUGUUUCCGAUUUCGAGACAAAGAAGAUGGAGUAGAUGAAAUAGAUAAAGUAGAAGAAGAAGAAGAAGCUAUUGUUUUGUUUUCUUGAUGGGAUUUGACUUUUCUAUAAAACAUGAAAAAUAUUGUACCCAAAAGCGUGAAGAAAGUUAUGGCAGCAACACAAAAACUAGAGAGAAAAGAAGAAUCCAUCUUAGUAUGAUGAAGAGAAGAUCAAUAUCUCAAAGCUUGUCAGAAAGCAAUCUGUUAAAAGCUUUUUCGUUGGUUGAAUCUGGAAAAUGUUUUUAUUGAGAUAGGCACAAAGGAUCCUUCAAAGAACAUUAUAUCCACUUGGAAUAAAUAAUAGAUUAACUGACUCAAGCAAAACUCAAAUAUUCAACAAUCUGAGUAUAUUGGGGGUAAAUUGAUAAUAACUUAAAGAUGUUAAGAGAUUUUGAUAAUUCCUAAAAAUUUGAGUUUCUUUUAUAUAAUACUAUUUUAAAUCUUGGAAAAAAAUAUUUAAAUAAAAAAAAAAUGAAUGCUGAAGAUGGAACGAAAAUGAUGCAGGGUUUUUAAACGGUUUUGUGCAAAAAAAACUCAAAGUCGCCCAUUUUUGCAAUUUUACCCUCCACCUCCGAAAAAUGCAGAAUAAUUCUAUGAAGUCAAAAAUAAUAUGUAAUCUUAUACAAUAUAUAUAUAUACAAGGGCUAUAUUGCGUUUUAUUUUUGAUUUCGUAAGAUUAUUCUGCAUUUUUUCGGAAGUGGAAGGUAAAAUUGCAAAAAUGAACGAUUUUGAGGUUUUUUUUGCACAAAACCCGUUUUUAAAUCAGGUAUAUUUUCUUAGAAGAGGAUUUUAAUGCAGUAAAUGGAGCGAUGAUCAAUGUUAGACCAAAAUUGCAUACGUUAGUUAGACAAUGAAAUACGAAGGUAAGAUGCAUAUUACUUAGCCACAAGUCAAACAAAUACAUAUAUAUAUAUAUAUAUAAAGUCAUUAAAAUUUUUUACAACUUGUCGAAGUAAAGACAAAUGCUAAAUAGCGGUCAGUCUCCUUAAGGGAUAUUGAUUAGGUGUAAAACCUAAUUUUUUUUAUUUAUAAAGUAGGUGUAGAAUAUAGAGAUUAUUUUUAUAAGUUUUUGGAUCCUCUGAUUUGUAUUAUUUUAUAAGUCAAGGUGAAUUCGAAGACCGAAGACAUUGAAAACUAUACGAUUACGAAGAAAACGUAAUGGAGAGAGCGCAAUGGAAAAAGACAUGGUGAGACAUCAACUCCAGCCACGCAACUCAUCAUUUGGAUAGACAAUUACAAAUUCGAAACCAACUGUCAUUGAUUCGAACGGCCAGAGAUACGAACCAUGCCUCCAUCCUGACAAGAGAUAUGAACCAUGCUUCUAGAAGUUUUUUUUUUCAAUUCUCAAUUUUAUUACCUUCUUAAAUUAUUCAGAAACAUUUGCAUUUGAUGUAACAAACGUUAUUUUUCGUGAAUAUAAUUUCAUAUUAUAAUUAAAAAAAAAAAAAAAAAAAAAAAAAAAAAAAAAAAAAAAAAAAAAAAAGAGGAACACGUAAAGGAAGGAUGACCAUUUGAGAAAUUAUCUUACUUAGUAGUGUAGUAUUUCGUGAAGUAUCUGCAAUACGUUUCAUGCUGAUUUUGAAAAUACGUUACAUGUUUCAUGAACUUUCAUCUUUGUCGUUAUUUUUAUUAAAUCCAUUUAUGUUUGAAUUCCACUAAAAAUUUCAGAUAUUCGAGUGAAAGUUUGCUCUACUUUAAAUAGUUUCUAGUUAUUAUGAAGAAUGAAUAUUUCAUACAUUAGUUAAUAUGAUGAAUGAAUAUUUCAUACAUUAGUUGAGGAUUGGGGUUUGCUUGUAACCCAAGAAACUAUUUCUGACCUUAAUUUCUUCAACGGUUCUGAGUUUGUUAAGAUGCAGCCAACAAUUCAACCAUGAUGAUGAGAGAAUCUCAAAGCCAAGAAUAAACUCAAGAAAAUUGCUGUAAAAUUGAUAUCGCUGAAAUGGCAAUGAUUAGACAAGAACAAAUUAACGUUUUCAUCAGAUCUAAUCGGAACUCUUUUCAAAUAUUUGGACUAGCUAUGAACAUCUUUGUCAAAUGUUAAUUAUGCUGCUGCAGAAGAAAGGAUAUUUGGCUAUCAUCCCAAAUGCAAAGAAUCGCGAUGCCUGGAGCCGUACCUGCUGUCUCAAACUCCUUUGGAUGCUCUUCUUUCGUUCAGAAUCAGUGUGGGUACUUCUGCACCUCACAACAUUCACCCUCUUCGACUCUGUAGAUUCUUCAGCUUGGAUAAUCGAAGGAGUAAAGCAUACAAACUACUGUGCUGGUCAAACCUACGACAUCAUAAGAGAAAGAAAACAUACAGUUAGCUGGAGUAACAUUGUAUGGUUUGAUCGAGGAAUCUUGCGGCACAAAAGCCUUACCUGGAUGUUAUAAACUGCUUGUUGUGCAACAAAAUUUCCCAAUCUAGGGACAAAUUUUAGUAAAAAGUUUUGAUUACUUUGGAAAAAACUUUACCUCAUCUCCUUCUCCGUCUUUGAACGGUAGUUGUCAAGAAAACCGCAUUGAUGAAGCGCCGUGCCAUGGAUAUUGUAGAAGAAAUGGAGGCAGGAUUAAGGUGAGUGGAAGAAACAAGAACAAUAGGAGAUCAUUGUUUUGUUCUUCUCUGAAGUUCUCAACCAAUUACGCCCCAACUAGUCUUGAGUUGUUUUUUCUCCAAAAAAUGGAAGGGCUUAGAGUUGGAGCACUCCAGAUUCUUUUAUCACCACUUCGUAACAAUUGACUACGAACUCGAAGAAAAACUCGUUGGACGUCACAUCCACUUCAAGUUCAAAGGUAAGCAAAUGCUCCGCUAAAAUGGGAGGCACACCAAAGCCGUGAGCAGAUCUCCAUGACCAAUGUGGGCGCCGCAGUAUCUAAGUAAGACAAAGUAAAAUUCGUAUGUGAUUAGUUAGAAAAAAACAAAAUUUAUGAUAAAACAUUAUUAAUGGAUAAUAUAUCUUUAAAUUAGACUAUCUGCUUUUAACAUUAUUAAUGGAUAAUAUAUAUUAAUGGAUAAUAUACAAAAUUGACAUUUUUAUAGUUUAUUUGUCUAGUUUAUAUAAACUGUCUUCUUAUAAUUUUAGACUAUCUGCUUUUAACCUUUUCAAUUUUAAUUGUCACUCAUUAAAUUGUGUUUUAUUAUUGAAUUUCACUCUUUGUACUUAAAAAAAUUAAAUAAAAUUCACAUUUAUUUACUAAGAAAAGUAAAAAAUGUGGAAUACAAAAGAAAAAAAAUAUUUUGGUAAAAUGAGAGAGACAAACACAAUAAUAGCUUAGAAAAAGCCUUAGAAAUCACACAAUCAUGCACUCACAUCAAAAUUUCAUCGACCGCUUAAACCAAACUCUAUUGUUUUCAUUCUCCUUUAGAAAUAAAGAACUAUACAACCAAGGAUGUAUAUACUUUUCUCCGAUUGUUGGUUGAAUAUUUUUUUCAAAUUAAUUUCAUAUAGAUUUCACUGAUCUGUUGAAAUUCCUGGGCAAUUCUUGUUAGGGGUGACCAAUACGUGCUAUUGUACACAAGGCCAAAGCUAUAUGAGGGGGGUCAAGUGACGCCUAUAAAUUUUAUAAAAAAUUAUUUGCAAGGCUUAAUUAAUGGUAUUUGGUUGAUAAUUUUGUUUGAAAUAUUUGACACUUUUGUAAUUAAGUUUCGUAAAAAAAAUUACAACAAGAAGAAUACCACACAGAAACUAACCAGGUAAUCUUGUGAUGUACAUUUAUUUCGAUCACCCACUUUUAGAGAAAUCUCCAACUAGUUUUUUUAAGGUUUACGAUGAAUCACUUUGAUGAUUGAGCUAGUGAUGUACAUUUGUUUGUGUUGUUUAGCGCUUUUGUAUUUGUUGAUUACUAUGACUGAAGUGAUACUUAUUCGGUCUUAACUUUUAGUCUGAAUCGAAUUUUAAGUUUUGUUUUAGCUGAAACAUAAAACUUUAUUGGAACCUUUUUUUUUGUUUUUUUUUGUUACAAUGAAUGCCGUGAGUUAGUGCUGAAUGCUAACUCCAAUGAUCUCGUUGGUGAGACGAUCGAAUACUCACAAUUUUUGGAGUUUAGUGAAUCGAUCGUUCACUUAUAUCGACUAACCAUUGAUCAUCUGUCAUCUAACUAUGUUACAUUUUGUGUAUGAAAUUUAUUAACUUGAUUAAAUAUUGUUUUUGAUCAAUGUUGAAAUCUUUAAGCAGGAUACAUGUCGAAGGAAAAUCAUAUGCUCCCUGAGUCAAGCAAUAGGACUAGAGUAUCGCCAUACCCACUUCGCUCUUCAAGGACAAAGAAAUACAAAGCACAUGAGUCAUUUAUCCAAUCAGAAUGGGAGGAUGUGCGGUGUGUGAUUUGCAUGGAACCGCGUCACAAUGUUGUUUUUUUUAGAUGUUCUUCCUCCCUUAAUGGAUGUCGUCCUUAUAUGUGCGACACAAGUGCUCGUCACUCCAACUGUUUCAAGCAGUUCCGCAAAAAAAAAACAAGAAAAAACGCUCAAGUAACAAGACCUUAAACUGCCCUCUAUGCAGAGGAGAAGUCUUUGAGACAACAAAAGGGACAAGUACUGCAAGUAGAUUCAUGAAUGCUAAACCGAGAUCUUGUCCUAUCGAUGAUUGCAAUUUCUCCGGGACUUAUUCUCAACUUGAUAAACAUUUGAAAAAGAGCAUCGCUGUCUCAUCCCCCCCAAAGGUCGAUCCACAAAGGCAAUGUAGGUGGGAACAAAUGGAGAGACAUGUGGAAUACGAUGACCUCAUGAGUGCAGCUGAGAUUCCGCAUAUCCAUGAGGUUGUACAUCAUCAACUUCCUUACACUCAUCAUCUUCCCGUGUUUCGGUUGAACAUUGUUAAUGGAACCGUGCGAAAUAUUAUUCGUCCGGUUCAUGUAAGGAACUGAUUUGGUGCCACCAACUACAUUGUAGGUAACAUGCCUAGACUGCAUUUUUGACCGAUGAGCGCGGCUAGAUUCCUUGAAGAAAUCUAACAAGCUUACAUUGCUUACCGAGAACCAAAUAUAUAUAUUAUGAUUUUGUUCGAAGCUUAAUGUCUCAAAAUAUAUAUUUUAGUUAAUUUGGAUCCAUAAUAUUUAAAAUUCAAUAUUUAGGUUACUAUAUAGCGAAUUUCUAAGCUCAUAUCUUUUACCUUCCAAAGUUUUGUUUAAUAAUAUCUUAACUUAUUAUUUUAUUAAGAGCAAACUUCAUAUAAAUAUACCAUCUAUUCACUAAAAUACACAAAUAUUUUGGAUACAAGAAAAACAUGAAUUAAUUUUGUCUACCAUACACAAAUUUUCAAAUAGUACUAACACCCACAAGUUGAUCAAAGUACUUUCUGUUAACUUUUCUAAUUUUUCAAUCAAAAUAUUAAUAUUGACAUUAUAAAUUUAUUUUUAAAAUAAUAAUAAAUUCUUGAAAAAUUCCAAAAAAAAACUGAAAAUUCUCUUUCAGAUUCAUAAGAAAUUUUUUAUUUACUUUUAAUUAUUUUUUUAUAAAAUUAAAUAGUCUUGGACUUUCGAAUUUUUCAAGAAUUAAUUAAGAAAUUUUAGAGAGUUUUCAAAAUAAUUUUCAAAUAGUACUAACACCCACAUCGAAAGUAAUUUCUGUUAACUUUUCUAAUUUAUCAAUCAAAUAUUAAUAUUGAAAUUAUAAAUUUAUUUUCAAAUAAUAAUAAAUUCUUGAAAAUUUCCAAAAAAAAAAACUGAAAACUCUCUUAAAUUAAAUAUUAAUAUUCAGUUUCAUACGAAUUUUUUUAGUUAUUUUUAAUUAUUUUUUUUAUAAAAUUAAGUAGUUUGGAGUAAGAAUUAUGAAUAACAUGUCUUUUGGACUUUCGAAUUUUUCAAGAAUUAAUUAAGAAAUUUUAGAGAGUUUUCAAAAUAAUUUUCAAGAAUAUUAACAGUGUUAAUAGUCUAUGGUUAUCUUUUUUCUUACAUUAUUUAGCGUAAACAGUAAAACUUCUGAUAGUUCUUGAGAGCUCUCCUCUUCGGAACAGCUCGACCUUCACGCCAAUGGCGUCUUCUUCUCUUACUUCGUUCCCAUGCCUAUCCUCGCUCAAAAUGACGAUUAAGCCUGUUGGUGUUUAUUUUAUAUAAACAUGUUUAUUUACAUAAACAUUUGUAUUUAUGUAAAUACCAUUCUACUUGUGCAAAUUUCAUCACGUCUCUUGGUUACGUUUAUACCGAUACACCGGUUGAGAGAAGAGAAGCAUCUCUUGGUUCAAGCAUCGCUUCAUUAAUAUAUAAGAGACGUAACGAUGUAGAGAGACGGGGACAGAGAGACAAGAGAGAAGAACAAUACAAGAGAAACAAAGGAGAGAAAGAUUGGGAUUGAUUCUCAUCUUCUUCUUCUCCAAAUCAAUUUCAGAGAAUCUCAAAGUAGAGUUUGCUAGGGUCUCUGUACGGUGUUAAAACAGAGAUCGAUAGUUGUAUCCUAAAGAUAGAAGCCUACACAAAGCUACGUACACCACAGUAGGGGCUAAAUUCUGUCUUAGGAGAUUGCCAAUUGCAAGCCUCUAUCAAUCUAUACGUUGUUCUUAUCAAGAAGAGAAGAGAUCGUAAAGUACGUUUCAGUUCUGUAACAAUUGUUUUUCUAUUUGUUACUUAUUAUAUAAAGUGAACGUAUUUGUUUAUGGGUAUUGAUCUGCAUCUAUAAUCUUCAAUCAACAAUCUAAGACAGAAUUAUUUGUUGUUUUGAAAUUGAUAGAUGGAUCAAUCUGCUGGGAAUGUGAAAAAUCACAUUGAGAAGCCUUUUGUUUUCAAAGGAGUGGAUUUCAAAAGAUGGCAGCAAAAGAUGAUGUUCUAUCUCACAACUUUGAAUUUGGCACAAUACUUGACUUCCGACGCACCGGAAUUACCUGUUGAAGGAGACAUUUCGGAUGAAGUCAUCAAAGCAUCGGAGACAUGGUCACAGAAUGAGUUUUUGUGCAAAAACUACAUUCUUAAUGCCUUGGAUGAUUCUCUCUAUGAUGUUUAUCAGAUUUUCCAAACUCCAAAACAGUUGUGGGAAUCAUUAGAGAAGAAAUACAAGUCUGAAGUUGCAAGUGCCAAGAAAUUCAUUGUGGGAAAAUUCUUGAAUUUCAAGAUGAGUGACACCAUCUCUGUGGUGAAACAAGUGGAAGAAAUUCAGAUUUUUGCUCAUGAAUUGAAAGAUGAAGGUAUGGGGCUGAAUGAGGCGUUUCUUGUUGCGUCCAUCAUCGAAAAGUUGCCUCCAACGUGGAAAGAUUUCAAGAUCUAUCUAAAGCACCUACAUGAAGACAUGAGUUUCGAGCAACUAAUUCUCAAGCUUCGUGUUGAAGAAGAGAAUCGUAAGAAUGAGAAAUCUGAGUUUUCUUCUAUGGAAGCGAAGGCCAAUGUAAUUGAGGGAAACAACUCCAAAUCCAAGGGCUUUAAGAAGAACAAAAACGGUAAGAAACCGUUCAAUCCACCAAAGGGCUUUAACUUCAAGAGGAAGCCACAAGGUGCUUGUUGGGUGUGUGGAAAGCCUGGACAUAGAGCCAAGGACUGCCGCCAUAAGAAAGAAAGGACAUCGGUUCGAGACGCAAGCAACGCAAACCUUGUUGAAAAUCAGUUUGUUGCGGUCGUUUCCGAGGCAAACAUGAUGACAAACUCCAAUGAUUGGUGGGUUGACACUGGUGCUACAAAGCAUGUGUGCUCCGACGUGAGUAUGUUCUCCACGUAUGAACAAGGUUCUGGUGGAGAAAAGCUUUACAUGGGAAACGCGAGCACCGCGACGAUCGCAGGGAAAGGCAAAGUGGUUUUAAAACUCACAUCUGGGAAGGAACUUGCACUCACAAACGUACUCCAUGUCCCUGAGAUUCGAAAGAAUCUGAUUUCGGGGUCACUUCUUAGCAACAAAGGCUUUAAGAUUGUAUUUGAAUCUGAUAAGGUUGUACUCACUAAAGGUGGGAUGUAUGUAGGAAAAGGCUACUUGUGUGAUGGUCUUUUCAAACUGAAUGUUGUACCGAUCGUUAAUGAAAACGCAGGCAAUAGCACUGCUUCUGUUUAUUUGCUUGACUCAAAUGAUUUAUGGCAUGCAAGAAUGGGACAUGUCAAUUAUCAUUCUUUAUAUCGAAUGAUGAAUUUAGGAUUGUUACCAAAGAACAAUCUUAAUAAUAAUAAAAGAAGUAAAUGUGAAGUUUGUGUGGAAUCAAAAUAUUCACGACAUUCUUAUAAAUCUGUGGAAAAGUCAAAUGUAUUACUUGGUUUAAUACAUAGUGACUUGUGUGAUUUUCAAUCAAUUCCAAGCCGUGGAGGAAAAAAUUAUUAUAUAUCUUUUAUUGAUGAUUUCAGCAAGUAUUGUCAAAUCUAUUUGAUUAAUACUAAAGAUGAGGCUUUGAAUAUGUUUAAGAAAUUCAAAGCAGAAGUUGAAAAUCAAUUAGAUAAGAGAAUAAAAAUUCUCCGAUCAGAUCGUGGUGGAGAAUACAAAUCAAAUGAAUUCUCAGAUUUUUGUUCCACACAUGGAAUCAUUCAUCAAACUACGGCACCUUACACUCCGAUGCAGAACGGAGUUGCCGAAAGGAAAAAUAGAACGCUUAAAGAGAUGAUGAAUUCCAUGUUAAACGAUUCGGGUGCACCACCUAAUCUAUGGGGUGAAGCCAUUGUCACGGCUAAUUCAAUUUUGAAUAAGAUUCCUCACAAGAAGAGUGAUAAAACUCCAUAUGAGAUGUGGAAAGAGAAGACUCCUUCAUAUAAAAAUAUGAAAGUGUGGGGUUGUCUUGCAAAGGUUCAAAUACCUUUACCAAAAAGAACUAUUAUAGGACCAAAAACGGUGGAUUGCGUUUACAUCGGUCCUGCGGAAAAUAGUGCAGCUUAUAGAUUUUUAGUACAUAAAUCUAAUAAUGUUGAGGUAAAGGUAAAUACGAUCAUUGAAUCUAAUGAGGCUGAGUUUUUUGAAAGUGUGUUUCCAUACAAAGAGCCUAGAGAAACAAGUACUAAACGGGUACGUGAGGACAAUGAAUGUGCCUCAAAGGUUCAAGAAGAAGAAAAUGAACCAAGAAGAAGUAAAAGAGCAAGAGUUGCUAAAGAUUUUGGCACGGACUUUAUGACGUACUUGAGUGAAUACGAACCUCAAACGUACAAGGCUGCAAUUGAAUCAUCGGAUGCACCUUAUUGGAAAGAGGCGAUUCAAAGUGAAGUUGAAUCCAUUUUGAGAAAUCAUACAUGGGAAUUGGUUGAUUUACCACCUGGUAAUAAACUAAUUGGACAUAAAUGGAUCUUCACAAAGAAGUUGAGACCAGAUGGUACGAUUGAAAAAUAUAAAGCAAGACUAGUGGCGAAAGGGUUUCGUCAAAAAGAAGGUCUUGAUUUCUUUGAUACGUAUUCUCCGGUGACUAGAAUCACUUCGAUUAGAUAUCUAAUCGCAAUUUCGGCCAUAUAUGAUCUAGAAAUUCAUCAAAUGGAUGUUAAAACAGCAUUCCUAAAUGGUGAACUUGAUGAAGAAAUAUAUAUGGAACAACCCGAAGGAUUUAUAGUCAAAGGGAAAGAGAAUAAAGUUUGUAAGCUUAAAAAGUCUUUGUAUGGACUUAAGCAAGCGCCAAAACAGUGGCAUGAGAAGUUUGAUAAUACAAUGAGAUCGUAUGGUUUUAAAAUAAAUGAAUGUGACAAGUGUGUCUACGUUAAGGAAACUAAAAAGGAUACGAUCAUUGUAUGUCUUUAUGUGGAUGAUAUGUUAAUAAUGGGAACAAGUAAAGACAUUAUCAAUGCCACAAAGAAGAUGUUGAGUGACAAUUUUGAAAUGAAAGACAUGGGAUUGGCUGAUGUAAUUCUUGGAAUUAGAAUUAAAAGAGAGCCAAAUGGGUAUUCACUUACUCAAUCUCAUUAUGUGGAGAAAGUUCUAAAGAAGUUUGGUCACUUUGAUGAUAGACCGGUAGUUACUCCGUUUGAUCCAACGAGCAAGCUUUCCAAGAAUGAAGGUGAAAGUGUGUCUCAGUUGGAAUACACACAAAUUCUUGGAAGCAUCAUGUACAUUACAAAUUGUACAAGACCAGAUUUGGCUUACUCAAUAAGUCGAUUAAGUCGAUAUUCAAGUAAUCCAAAUAGAGAACAUUGGAAUGCUUUGGUUAGAGUAUUGAGAUACUUAAAGCAUACAAUUAAUUAUGGUCUAUAUUACACUAAAUUUCCUCAUGUAAUAGAAGGAUAUAGUGAUGCAAAUUGGAUUUCUGGAAGUACGGAUAGUAAAUCCACAAGUGGUUAUGUGUUUACACUUGGUGGUGGAGCUGUGUCUUGGAGAUCAUCUAAACAAACGUGUAUUGCACGUUCUACAAUGGAAUCAGAAUUUAUCGCACUAGAUAGUGCUGCAGAAGAAGCCGAAUGGCUAAGGAAUUUUAUUGAAGAUAUUCCAUUAUGGCCAAAGCCGGUAACUGCACUAUGUAUCCAUUGUGAUAAUAUGGCUGCCUUAAAUAUAGCGAAAAAUAAAAUUUUCAAUGGCAAGUCAAGGCACAUUCGAAGGAGACAUGCUACAAUACGACAAUUGCUUUCCAAUGGAGUGAUAGCAUUGGAUUAUAUUAGAACAAAGGAUAACUUGGCUGAUCCUUUGACUAAAGGCCUACCGAAAAAGCAAGUCGUAUUCACUUCGAGGGGAAUGGGUUUAAAGCCAACACAAUGAGUCAUCACUUGGUGGAAACCUUACCUAGCAACAUUGGAGAUCCCAUGGUUUAGGUUCAAGAGGCAAACUGGCUGAGGAAGACUCAAGAAAGAUAUACAUAUUACUUAUUCCUAUGAAGUUAAAUGUAUUUCCAUUGAUGUUUAAAGGGAUGAAUAUUUUUCUUAAUAACAUUAAUAUUUUUUUUUAGUGGAAUAGAAUGGACUAUUCUUAAUUAAUGUUACCUAUAUGAGAGUGGUGUCGCGGUCGCACCUAUGAGAAUUGAGAUGGCUAAAUUCUCUAGAGCUCUCACGAAGCCGGGAUAUGUUCAGGACCAAAAUGAACACAACCGUAUAAACAUGAAAUGAGCUGAUAAUUUAUGUGUUUCACUUAUUGUCUCGAUUUACUAUCAAAAGUGGUUAGUUCAAGACAAGAGUUCACUACCUACAAAGUAAAUCCGAUAAGUGUUUACUAGGAAAGGUUCAAGUCUAAAAGACACCUUAACCGAUGCAUAAUGAUUCUAUUUUCUCAGAUAUUGUGGAGCUUAUUUUCUAUUCAAAUGUGGGGUAUUUAUAUGUUUGAAUAAGAAAAUGUGGGGUAUUGUUGGUGUUUAUUUUAUAUAAACAUGUUUAUUUACAUAAACAUUUGUAUUUAUGUAAAUACCAUUCUACUUGUGCAAAUUUCAUCACGUCUCUUGGUUACGUUUAUACCGAUACACCGGUUGAGAGAAGAGAAGCAUCUCUUGGUUCAAGCAUCGCUUCAUUAAUAUAUAAGAGACGUAACGAUGUAGAGAGACGGGGACAGAGAGACAAGAGAGAAGAACAAUACAAGAGAAACAAAGGAGAGAAAGAUUGGGAUUGAUUCUCAUCUUCUUCUUCUCCAAAUCAAUUUCAGAGAAUCUCAAAGUAGAGUUUGCUAGGGUCUCUGUACGGUGUUAAAACAGAGAUCGAUAGUUGUAUCCUAAAGAUAGAAGCCUACACAAAGCUACGUACACCACAGUAGGGGCUAAAUUCUGUCUUAGGAGAUUGCCAAUUGCAAGCCUCUAUCAAUCUAUACGUUGUUCUUAUCAAGAAGAGAAGAGAUCGUAAAGUACGUUUCAGUUCUGUAACAAUUGUUUUUCUAUUUGUUACUUAUUAUAUAAAGUGAACGUAUUUGUUUAUGGGUAUUGAUCUGCAUCUAUAAUCUUCAAUCAACAAAGCCCAUGGCAGCUCUCACCAAUCCCCCAAGAACGAAAACUCCAUACGAACUGAAAAAGGGGCAAAACCGUCUCUUCCACAAGCUUCCCUCUGGUCUAAAAAUGGAGGUAAUCGAACAACGAAGAAGCAAAUCCGAAAGAGAGAAUCCACCAUUGGUGUUUGUACAUGGAAGCUAUCACGCAGCUUGGUGUUGGGCUGAACAUUGGUUACCUUUCUUCUCUUCUUCUGGGUUUGAUUCUUAUGCUGUUAGUUUACUAGGUCAGGUAAAUUCUCAAAUCAUCAAAGUUUUGAUUUUUAUGCUGAGUUUCGAUUUCCCCAAUAUCUAGUUAGACUUUCAAGAUCAUAAAGUUUCAAACUUUGGAUUGAAAUUGAGUGAUUUGUUAUCUUUAGGGUGAAAGUGAUGAACCUUUGGGAACAGUUGCUGGAACACUUCAGGUACUUGAAACUUGCAAUGUGCAUUGUGUAUAUUGGAUAAUUACUUGAUUCAGCAAGAUUCUUACUUGUUUGUGUACUUGAAACUUGCAAUGUGCAUGCAAGUGAUAUUGCGGAUUUUAUCGAAUCGAAUCUUGGUUCUUCACCUCCUGUUCUUAUUGGUCAUUCUUUUGGAGGACUCAUUGUUCAAUACUACUUGGCAUAUAUUGUAAACAAGCAGUCGUUAGGUAAGGUGUAAAUUCAUUGGAAUGAGUUGCGUUUUUCAGGAUCAGGUGUAAGAAUGCCUAUACGAUAACCGAUGAGUUUGUUGUUUCGAUUCCAGGAAUGGAAAAUGCGUUUCCAGAACUUUCAGGGGCUGUACUUGUUUGCUCGGUUCCACCUUCGGGUAAUACGUAAACUUCUCACAACCUAUUGGCUAUUUCCUAUAUCAGUGAACUUCUUCGUUUAGCUUAUAUAUAACUUCCGGGACUCUCUUUGUUGUUCAGCGGCUUAGUGUUACAUUAUCUCUUCUCUAAACAUGUGGCUGCUUUUAAGGUAAAACUCUUUUUCUGCCUUUGAUCUUGCAAGGAUGAUCUUGAUGUCAUGUUCUAUUUGUUCAGCAAUGUUUGUUUUUGGUUAUGUUCUUGAGUAGGUUACUCUUAGUUUAGCUGCUAAAGGUUUUCAGAAAUCUAUUCCUCUUUGUCGAGAAACAUUCUUCUCUCAAGCUAUGGAUGAUCAACUUGUGAAGCGGUACACCUUUAAUUUAGCUCAAUAGUCACCUUGAAUCUAAAAUAAAGUUUCAGUAAUCUAAAUAAAUUGUCUCUCUCUUUUCUUGAUUCAGUUACCAGGAUCUUAUGACAGAGAGUUCACGGAUGCCGUUGUUUGAUCUGAGGAAGCUAAACGCAUCACUUCCGGUACCAAAACCAAUGGAGAAUUCGACAAAAGUUCUUGUUUUAGGUGCCAAAGAUGACUUCAUAGUGGUAAGAACUAAGAACGCACUCUCCUUUGUCCUUUCUAACCAAACCAGAAAGUUUUUCAAUCGUGGUACUUGUAUUACACCGAAAUGGGUUAUGGUUUUGCAGGAUGAUGAGGGGCUGAAGGAAACUGGGUGGUUUUAUUGUGUCGAACCGGUUUGUAUUGAAGGUGUUGCUCAUGACAUGAUGCUAGAUUGUUCAUGGAAGAAAGGUGCUGAGGUUCUUUUAAGUUGGCUUUGUGGUUUGUUUAAACCGGGAAAUUUAUCUGCUUAAUAGCUGCUUCUCUUUUUAUUGUCACUACCUCCCCGUAUUUGUGUAGAUAGCUGCUUCUCUUUUUCUUUUUUUUUCAGGUAAAAGAAAGAAAAGUGAAGUGUUGAUUUAGUUUGUGGAUAUUAAAAAUAAAAGUGUGGGACAAAAACAAAAUUGCAAUUUUCAUUUUCAAGCCAUAAUUUCAGCUUCGAUUUGGAUUUCUCCAUUCCCGGAGGCGGUUCGUCGAAGAUGUCUUCAAUGUCGACAAAAUCAUCUCUACAGAAAUCAAAGAGAGACCAAAUUCAAAAACUGUAGUUCAGAUCACAAGAAACUGAGAAAGAUGAUAUUGUUUUACCUAAAUCAGAGAUGAAUCAUAUCGGCGAUGUUAAACCGGUUGUUGACUAGAAGAAAUUGGCGGCAACGAAGAUGAGAUAAAAAGUUGUCAAUAUAACUGACGAGUUAAACCGGUUGUUGACUAGAAGAAAUUGGCGGCAACGAAGAUGAGAUCAAAAGUUGUCAAUAUAACUUUACCUCGUCAGCUUCUUCGUCAUGGUGGCUUUGUUUUGCGGGUCCCAACCAAGUCUUGAGUUGCUUUUUCCAUCACAUUAAUGAACUUAGAGUUGGAGUACUCCACAUUCUUUUAUCACCGCUUCGUUACCCUCGAUGUCGAACGAAAAUAAAAGCUCGUUGGACGUCACAUCAGCUUCAGAUUCAAAGAUGAGCAAAUGCUCUCUUAAAAUGGGAGGCACGUGAAAGGGAUAUCGAUUAUGAUACUCCCAUGAAACAUAGAUGCCGAUUUUACCUUUCUCCCUGAUUCUCAGAAAUACAACUGUUUUUCUAGCGGCGGCUUCCUCCUUGUCAUUGUCAACUUUUUUAUCCAACAAGACGCAAGCCUUAAAUCUCAAGGUCGUAGAAAGAGGCCUUUGGUUCAAAUUUACCAUUAUGAUACUCCCAUUAGCUCGGUAAGUGAAGUUUGCGGGCACUUCUCUAGCGGGUAAGAGCGCAAAGGUACUAUUAGUCUGGAUGAAUUCUCUCGCUUCUUUAUUCAGCUUGAAGCAGUUAACAAGUGUGGCAGAUCUCUCUGGAUGAUUAUGAAAGGAGAAAUCAAGUCUCUCUAGUGACUCGCAGUUUUCUACAUAUAUUUGUGAUAAGGAAUCUGAAAGUUGUGGGAGUGUUACCAGCCUCUUGCAUCCCUCUAGUACAAGUGUCUGAAGACGAGAGAUUUUCUUAACCCACAGAGGAAUUUCUUGUAUUUUUACAUCGUUAAAGUAAAGCUUUGUGAUGAUAUCGAAAGCAUGUGGGAAUUCCUUGAGAUUGUCAUUGUAUGACAUUUCCAAUUUACGAAGAUGAGACCAUGACUUGAUCGUCGAAGGCACUUCUUUUACUGCAGUUUUCAUGAGGUAGAGACGCUUAAUGUUUGUGGAGAUCUCCGGAAAACUUUUGAUCAGUAAGCAAUCAGUGAGAUCAAGGUAAUCGAGAGAUUCCAAGUUGAUAUUAGUAGGAAGAGCCUCUAGAUUUAAGCAUCCUCGUAAACUCAACGCUUGCAAUUUCUGAAGGUUUCCAAGAGAGGAGGGGAGCUCCGCCAAACUUGAGCAUCCAAACAGAGUCAAUUUCUCAAGGUUAGUGGCAGUUGAGAGAUUAGGUAACUCUUUUAGGUGUUUCGACUCAGCCAAAUACAUCCUCUUGAGAUUUCCAAGGGGCUGCAGAAACAAAUAAAGACAACAUAAGGACACACAUUAAAAUUAAAUUCAAAUACUAACGAAGUCUCUUUUUAUUUUAACUGAAAAAUUAAAUUCUUCGUUCAUACAACUUAUACAUAGUUCCUCCCUUUCCACCAAUGAUACUAACCAUGGAGGGAUACUACAAUUUAAGCAAGCAUAAUAAAGACUACAAGAGAUAGCCUUCUAAGAAAUCAUACCGGAAGAUCACUCCUUUUUGACCCAAUAUUAUAAAAUUGGAGAGAAACACAACAAUUAUGUACCUGAUUUCCUUGCCACAAGUUCUGAAGUUUGCUGUUCCACAUAUCUAUAUGGACUAGAUACUUCGUACAAAAAUUGGAAGGCAAACAUUUCAUUUGAAAACAGCUCCAUUCUAGUAUUCUAAGUUUCUGAGGUAGAUUAUUUAAACCUUGCGGUAAGUACAAUUUAUUGUUUUCACCGUCAUAUAGGCCACGGAAUCUUAAGAAUUUAAGGUUAGACAAUCCUUCAAAAGCUCUCUCAUUGAUAUUUAAUUCGCCUGAUAGGUUUCUUACCUCCAAAAGUAUACCUAUAACAUUUCUACUAUCCUGUAAAAAGACCAUAAAAGAUAGAAACGAGAGAUAAUUAGCUAUUGAAUGAAUUUAAUUUGUAAACAACAAGGAAACAAGAGAAUAAUAAUAGAACUAACCGUGUUAUCAGUGAGUACUUCACGAAUAUCUCUAGCAUCAACCAAGAAUUGACGCUUCCCAGGCUCACGAAUGCAUUGGUGCCCAGGCUUAUGACGGACAAUGUCUCUACCUAAUUGCACUAAUAGAUUGUGCAUCUUUAUACGUGUAUAGUCAGCAGAAAGAAUCUUUAAUGCUAUGAGAGAUUUCUCAGCUAAGAGGUGAAGCCCUUGCCUCACAUCUAAGAAACUUGAAGCAAGAUAAUCUUCCACUCUCACCAUUUCUUCAUCGUUGAAAAGGCAGGCUAUAUGAAGGAAUAAAUCUUUAUCUUCAUCACAUAAGGCAUCGUAACUGAACUUUAAAAUGCUUUGAAUACUAGCAUCAAGGCGAAUCUUUAACCUUGGUAAUGCAUUUACCCACUCAUGCCUAGACAUUCCCCGGAAGUGGGAUCCCAUAACUCUUAGUCCCAAAGGUAGAUUACCUAAAAGUUUUGUAACUUGCCACGCAAGCUCCUCAAAACCAUCUUUAGGGAAGUUUUGGCCAAAAGCAUACAUACAAAAGAUCUGAUAAGCUUCAUAUGCUGAUGGAAAUUCCACCUUGUAAAUAUGGUUGAUGCCAUGUGCCUUCAAAAGCCGUUGGUCUUGUGUUGUGAUGAUAAUCCGACUUCCAUGACCGAACCACCGAGUUUCUUUUGCGAUAGCAUCUAGUUGUAUUGAUUGAUCAAUGCUAUCAAGAACAAUAAGCACCCUCUUGUCGUUCAACCUAUCUUGUGCAACUCCUAAAUGAGGAAGCUCCAUAUCCUUGUGGUUGAUUAUUUGGGACAAAAACUGUUGCUGUAACUGAAUCUUUGCACUAUACUCAUCAGAACACACUGGUCUUGUAUACAUCAAUUCCUUGAUAUUCUCCAUGAAGAUACUCAAUUCAAAAUUUUCAGAAAAUUGACUAUAUAAGACUCUGGCAAUGGUAGUCUUCCCUAUCCCAGACGGACCCCAAAUCCCAAUCAUCCUUACUUCAUCAGAGUCUAGGCAUAACAACGAUUCCAUUUCGUUCAUAUGAGCCCCCAUCCCAAUGAAACCGUCAAAAUCUCUUGACGGUGAGUAUCUAUUCAACAUGUUUGAAACAUCAGUGGCGAUUUUUUCAGUCAUGGCUGCUUCAUUAUCCCUAACAAAUCAAGUGACCAAUUUAUACAUCAAUUAAUAUUCAUAAAAAAUUCCACUUAUACAUCCAAAAAUUAUGUAUUGGUUGUCUUGAAAUUCUUUAAAAGCUACCAAUAAAUAUAGCUUUAUGUGUUAGUAAAAUAUAAAUCAUGGCAAGUAUAAAUCAAGAAAGCUAACCAGUUACAGGAAUGCUCCCCAGCGAUUGUUGCCACAGCCUCCAAAACGUUUUGCCAUCUCUUAAUGUCCUCUUUGGUUUUACCUUUACACGUUUUCUUGAAGACCUUCCCAAAAUCUCCUGUCUGCUUCUUUACGUCCGUUGGAUCAACGUCAUAGAAAAUGGUCAUCACUGUUUGACCCAAUUCUUCUCUACACUUCAUGAUUUCCACCAACUCGUUUAAACACCACGACGAAGAAGCGUAGUUCCUCGAGAGCAAGACGAUUGCGAUCUUUGAUCCUCUGAUAGCUUCUACGAGCUCAGGACCGAUAGACUUGCUCCUCUCGAUAUCAUUAUCAAUGAAUGGAACGAUUCCCUUUCCUUUGAACUCUUUUAGGAUGUGAGCAAGAAAUGUUUUUCGAACAUCUGCCCCGUGGAAGCUUGGGAAGACAUCGUGUUUCCGAUUUCGAGACAAAGAAGAUGGAGUAGAUGAAAGAGAUAAAGAAGAAGAAGAAGAAGAAGCUAUUGUUUUGUUUUCUUGAUGGGAUUUGACUUUUCUAUAAAACAUGAAGAAAGUUAUGGCAACAACACAAAAACUAGAGAGAAAAUCAGAAUCCAUCUGAGUAUGAUGAAGAGAAGAUUAAUAUCUCAAACUUGUCAGAAAGCAAUCUGUGAAGAAAUUGAAAGGGCUUUUUCGUUGGUUGAAUCUGGAAAAUGCUUUUAUUGAGAUAGGCACAAAGGAACCUUCAAAGAACAUUAUAUCCACUUGGAAUUAAUAAUAGAUUAACUGACUCAAACCAAACUCAAAUAUUCAAUAAUUUGUAUAUAAUGGAGGUAAAUUAAUACUCCUUCUGUUUCACAAAGAGUGUCAUUCUAUCAUUUUUCAUACAAAUUGAGAAAAAUAAACAAAUUUCUUUUCUACCCCUUAUUAAUAUACUAGAUAAUACCCUCUAUUUAAUUAAUAAACUGAAAAAAUAGGGAUAAAAAACAGAAUUAGUCUUAAAAACUGCAUAGAAAACAUAAAACGACACUCUUUGUGAAACAAGAUUAAAACCUUAAAACGACACUCUUUGUGAAACGGAGGGAGUAAUAACUUAAAGAUGUUAAGAGAUUUUGAUAAUUCCUAAAAAUUUGAGGUUCAUUUAUAUAAUACUAUUUAAUCUCUUGGAAGAAAAAAAAUUCAAUCCUGUUAAUUUUCUUGGAAAAAGAAUAAUGAAUGCUGAAGUUUGGAACGAAAGUGAUGCAGGGUUUAUAAUUUGUAAUCAUGUUUAUUUUCUUAGAAUAGGAUUUUAACGUUGAAAAUGGAGCGAUGAUCAAUGUUAGAACAAAAACAAAUUUUAACUUAGCCACAAUUCAAGCAAAGAUAAAUAAAAAAGUCAUUUAAAUUUUUUAUUACAACUUAUCGAAGUAAAGACAAAUGCUAAAUAGCGGUCAGUCUCAUUAAGGGGUAUCGAUUAGGUGUAAAACCUAAUUUUUUUAUUUAUAAAGUAGGUGUAGAAUAUAGAGAUUAUUUUUAUAAGUUUUUGGAUCCUCUGAUUUGUAUUAUUUUAUAAGUCAAGGUGAAUUCGAAGACCGAAGACAUUGAAAACUAAAUAUAGGGAUUACGAGGAAACGUAAUGGAGAGAGCGCAAUGGAAAGAGAAAUGGUGAGACAUCAACUCUAGCCACGAAACUCAUCAUUUGGAUAGACACUACAAGAAAUUUGGUCAUUGGUAGUACACUGAAAACGCUACUAUAUCGAUUUAGUAGCGUUUUCAUGAACGCUAUGACAGGAGGAGCUAUAAUAGCCUCACCCCAUAUGAUAGCAUUUUUCGGAAUGCUACGGAAGAUGAACCUAUUAUAGCGAUAGUCUUAUGCUAUAGGAUAGUUUUUUCUAGCACUUGUUUCGUGCUAUUAUGUACUCUUUCAUGGCUUUGUAUUAGUGCCAUGAAAUAUUUUAUUAUGACACAAUUAAAAUGUCGUUGUAAAUUGUUUUGUUACAGUUAUGGCUGCCAAAAUUGUGCACCUAUUCGAUUGCGAUAAUAAAUUCUGGGAUUUAUAAAAUCUAUUGUGAAACAAAAAAUCAUAAAAGACCAAUGUUUUUCCAUUUAAGAUCCAAAGCAUACAAAGUGUACAGAUUUAAAUCAUGAACUCUAAAAGGAACAUGUAAACAUACAUGAAACCAACUCAUAAACAAAACAUAAAGUCAUGUCUUAAACUGAUCAAGUUCUCAAACAUAGCCGGCUAAACUGAUCAAGUACUUACGGAUACUUGGUCUCUAAUGGGUCCCCAGUUCUUGAUUUCUGCAAAAUUAGAUGGGUUUUAAUGAGUUUUCGUAGAGCAUCAUUGUCAAUUCCCUAAGUAUAAGUAAUUUGUCCUCUUCAGGAACGUGAGUGGGAGUAAGAUUGACAAUGUUAACUCCAGUUAAUGAGUGCAGACAAAACUGGUGUCUAGAAAUCGGUAUGAACAAAUGAGUUUUGACUUAUUCAACAAAAAGCCUCACAAAAAUAAUAACAAAGGUUGCUAAACAAAAGACUCUUGACAGAUUCAAUAAAUGUCUCACAGUAAUAAGUAGCAAAGUGGUUAUAUUGUACCUUAAUAGCAAAAGCAAGAAAGUAUUGUGAGCAGUCAUGCCAAUCCAAAGCUAGGUAUUUGAAGCCACGAGUUGAAUCUGAAUCACCUUUGUAGGAGACUAGUUGAGCUGUAACGUUAAACAGAGAAACUUAAACAGGAAUAGAAGCAAAUGUUCAAGUAAAGUACGAGAGUAAAGAACAAGUACCAAAGAUGAUUUAAACAAGUCCAACGAGAGGAAGAAAGUGACUGCCAAUAACCAACCCAAGAAAAAAGAAUAGAGAAAUAGCCUACGUUAUGUAUAUCCAAAAACAAAGACUUUCUUCCUAUAUUGCUUUCCUCCUUCCUCCAAUGCUCCCUGACACACAUAUAACACAACAUAUAUUGGGAAUCAUAAACAUCACUCUACUUAACAUAAGAUAUAAUUUACUGCCAUACCUGCAGAGAUGAACCCAUCUCUUAUCCAGCAUUGUAUAUAUGUUCUAACCUUUAUUAAACCAAGAAGCAAUACAAUUCAAACACAUAAGCAAACAGAUAUAUAACACUAAGCAAACAGAAACGCAUAACAGUUUACAAACUAUGAAUUUCUUUUUCAGACUAACAUACCAAAUAAGAAAAGACAAACUUGAAUCUAAACACAAACACAUAUAUAAAACUAAGCUGACACAAACUAUCAAUUUCUUCUUCAGACAAACAUACCAACUAAGCAAAUACAAACUUGAAUCUAGACACAAACACAAAUAUAAAACUAAGCAAACACAAACACAUAAGCAAAGAAACAGAAUCUCAAACACAAGCUCGAAUCUAAGCAAUUCAUUUUCGUUUUCAAUUUCAUUAUCAGCAAUCCAUAUUAUCCCAAAGUUUUAAACCCUAAUUCUCAAUUAGAAACACAAUCUCAAAUUAAUAAUAUAGUUUUGAACCCUAAUUCUCAAUUAGAAACAAAAUCGAAAAUUACUUACAGCUUCGUUACUUACAGAAUCUGAAAUCUCUUCCUUCUCUUCCUUUCAGCUUCGUCUCCUUCCUUGAUAAAGAGCUUCAAACCUCGCAAUAAGCUACAGACCUUGAAAGCUCACAAUAAGAGAAUUUAAUUAGGGUUAAGGAGACUGAAAAUAGGAGCAGCUUGAAUGAGAAAUCAAAUCGGAUGGAAGACUAACCCAGUCGAGAAAACAGAAAGAACAACAGAGAAGACGAGAAGUCUGGCGAACGAGAAACAGUCGGAGCAGAAUAUAUAAUAGAGCUACGGAGAGGACGAGAAGUCGAGAGAAACCCAGCUCCGACUCAGAUCUAGGUCGAGACACCGAGCCCAGAUUGAGGCGUCGAAGGUUGAUAAAUGACUGGAAAUCGAGUGAAUCGAGGCGACGAAGGUUGAGGAAUGACCGGAAUUGGGUUUUCUGGUGACCGGAAACCGGAUUCGUGGUGUCAGCGAAGGUUUAGAUUUUCAGAAAAAAAUGACCUAAGUGUUUGCUUUUGUGAGAGUCGCGGAAAAACAAAGUUUUGGCUAAGUGUUUUGCCUCUAAAAUGAUUUUCUCUGCUACAGUAGUGAUUUUUGGGUUCCCGCUUAAUGAAAUUCUUUCCCAGCGCUAACUUAAUACUACAAUAUAGUUGCCAUCCGAUUUUGUCACUUUUAGUAGCAGUUAAUGAAUUAGUGCUACAAUGAUAUGCUGCCAAUGACCAAAUUUCUUGUAGUGAGACAAACAAAUUCGAAACCAAUUGUCAGUGAUUCGGACUACGGACGGCCAGAGACAUUUGCAGUUGAUGUAACAAACGUUAUUUUUUCAUGAAUAUAAUUUAACUGCAACUUCUAGAAGUUUUUUUUUUUCAGUUCUCAAUUUUAUUACCUUCUCAAAUUAUUCAGAAACAUUUGCAGUACAUGUAACAAACGUUAUUUUUUCGUGAAUAUAAUUUAACAUUAUAUUCAAAGGAAAAAAAAAAAACAGGGAAAGGAAGGAUCCAAUUUGUAAGAAAGUCCCGCAAGUUAAUUUACCAGUCCAUUUGAGAAAUUAUCCUCAAAUUAUAAUUUAACAUUUUUUUUUUUUUGAGAAAUUAUCUUACUUAUUACUUAUUAGUGUAGUAUUUCGUGAAGUAUCUGCAAUACGUUUCAUGCUGAUUUUGAAAAUACGUUAUUUCAGAUAUUCGAGUGAAAGUUUGCUCUACUUUAAAUAGUUUCUAGUUAUUAUGAAGAAUGAAUAUUUCAUACAUUAGUUGAGGAUUGGGGUUGCUUGUAACCCAAGAAACUAUUUCUGACCUUAUUUUCUUCAACGAUUCUGAGUUUGUUAAGAUGCAGCCAACAACUCAACCAUGAUGAUGAGAGAAUCUCAAAGCCAAGAAUAAACUCAAGAAAAUUGCUGUAAAAUUGAUAUCGCUGAAAUGGCAAUGAUUAGACAAGAACAAAUUAACGUUUUCAUCAGAUCUAAUCGGAACUCUUUUCAAAUAUUUGGACUAGCUAUGAACAUCUUUGUCAAAUGUUAAUUAUGCUGCUGCAGAAGAAAGGAUAUUUGGCUAUCAUCCCAAAUGCAAAGAAUCGCGAUGCCUGGAACCGUACCUGCUGUCUCAAACUCCUUUGGAUGCUCUUCUUUCGUUCAGAAUCAGUGUGGGUACUUCUGCACCUCACAACAUUCACCCUCUUCGACUCUGUAGAUUCUUCAGCUUGGAUAAUCGAAGGAGUAAAGCAUACAAACUACUGUGCUGGUCAAAUCUACGACAUCAUAAGAGAAAGAAAACAUUCAGUUAGCUGGAGUAACAUUGUAUGGUUUGAUCGAGGAAUCUUGCAGCACAAAAGCGUUACAUGGAUGUUAUAAACUGCUUUAUGUGCAACAAACUUCCACAAUCUAGGGAUAAAAGUUUAGUAAAAGUUUUGAUUACUGUGGAAAAAACUUUACCUCCUCUCCUUCUCCGUCUUUGAACGGUAGUUGUCAAGAAAACCGCAUUGAUGAAGCGCCGUGCCAUGGAUAUUAUAGAGGAAAUGGAGGCAGGAUUAAGGUGAUUGGAAGAAACAAGAACAAUAGGAGAUCAUUGUUUUGUUCUUCUCUGAAGUUCUCAACCAAUUACGCCCCAACUAGCUAGUCUUGAGUUAUUUUCUCUCCAAAAAAUGGAACGGCUUAGAGUUGGAGUACUCCACAUUCUUUUAUCACCACUUCGUAACAAUUGACUACGAACUCAAAGAAAUACUCGCUGGACGUCACAUCCACUUCAAGUUCAAAGGUAAGCAAAUGCUCCGCUAUAAUGGGAGGCACACCGAAGCCGUGUGCAGAUCUCCAUUACCAAUGUCGGCGCCGCAGUAUCUAAGUAAGACAAAGUAAAAUUUGUAUGUGAUUAGUUAGAAAACAACAAAAUUUAUGAUAAAACAUUAUUAAUGGAUAAUAUAUCUUUAAAUUAGACUAUCUGCUUUUAACAUUAUUAAUGGAUAAUAUAUAUUAAUGGAUAAUAUACAAAAUUGACAUUUUUAUAGUUUAUUUGUCUAGUUUAUAUAAACUGUCUUCUUAUAAUUUUAGACUAUCUGCUUUUAACUUUUUCAAUUUUAAUUGUCACUCAUUAAAUUGUGUUUUAUUAUUGAAUUUCACUCUUUGUACUUCAAAAAAAUUAAUUAAAAUUCACAUUUCUUUACUAGGAAAAGUAAAAAAUGUGGAAUACAAAGGAAAAAAAUAUUUUGGUAAAAUGAGAGAGACAAACACAAUAAUAGCUUAUAAAAAGCCUUAGAAAUCACACAAUCAUGCAUUCACAUCAAAAUUCCAUCGACUGCUUAAACCAAACUCUAUUGUUUUCAUUCUCCUUUAGAAAUAAAGAACUAUACAACCAAGGAUGUAUAUACUUUUCUCCAAUUGUUGGUUGAAUAUUUUUUUCAAAUUAAUUUCAUAUAGAUUUCACUGAUCUAUUGAAAUUCCUGGGCAAUUCUUGUUAGGGGUGACCAAUACGUGCUAUUGUACACAAGGCCAAAGCUAUAUGAAGGGGGUCAAGUGACCCCUAUAAAUUUUAUAAAAAAUUAUUUGCAAGGCUUAAUUAAUGGUAUUUGGUUGAUAAUUUUGUUUGAAAUAUUUGACCCUUUUGUAAUUAAGUUUCGUAAAAAAAAAUUUACAACAAGAAGAAUACCACACAGAAACUAACCAGGUAAUCUUGUGAUGUACAUUUGUUUCGAUCACCCACUUUUAGAGAAAUCUCCAACUAGUUUUUUUAAGGUUUACGAUGAAGCUAGUGAUGUACAUUUGUUUGUGUUGUUUAGCGCUUUUGUAUUUGUUGAUUACUAUGACUGAAGUGAUACUUAUUCGGUCUUAACUUUUAGUCUGAAUCGAAUUUUAAGUUUUGUUUUAGCUGAAACAUAAAACUUUAUUGGAACCUUUUUUUUUGUUUUUUUUUUUGUUACAAUGAAUGCCGUGAGUUAGUGCUGAAUGCUAACUCCAAUGAUCUCGUUGGUGAGACGAUCGAAUACUCACAAUUUUUGGAGUUUAGUGAAUCGAUCGUUCACUUAUAUCGACUAACCAUUGAUCAUCUGUCAUCUAACUAUGUUACAUUUUGUGUAUGAAAUUUAUUAACUUGAUUAAAGAUUGUUUUUGAUCAAUGUUGAAAUCUUUAAGCAGGAUAAAUGUCGAAGGAAAAUCAGAUGAUCCCUGAGUCAAGCAAUAGGACUAGAGUAUCGCCAUACCCACUUCGCUCUUCAAGGACAAAGAAAUACAAAGCACAUGAGUCAUUUAUCCAAUCAGAAUGGGAGGAUGUGCGGUGUGUGAUUUGCAUGGAACCGCGUCAUAAUGUUGUUUUUUUUAGAUGUUCUUCCUCCCUUAAUGGAUGUCGUCCUUAUAUGUGCGACACAAGUGCUCGUCACUCCAACUGUUUCAAGCAGUUCCGCAAAAAAAAAACAAGAAAAAACGCUCAAGUAACAAGACCUUAAACUGCCCUCUAUGCAGAGGAGAAGUCUUUGAGACAACAAAAGGGACAAGUACUGCAAGUAGAUUCAUGAAUGCUAAACCGAGAUCUUGUCCUAUCGAUGAUUGCAAUUUCUCCGGGACUUAUUCUCAACUUGAUAAACAUUUGAAAAAGAGCAUCGCUGUCUCAUCCCCCCCAAAGGUCGAUCCACAAAGGCAAUGUAGGUGGGAACAAAAUGGAGAGACAUGUGGAAUACGUUGACCUCAUGAGUGCAGCUGAGAUUCCGCAUAUCCAUGAGGUUGUACAUCAUCAACUUCCUUACACUCAUCAUCUUCCCGUGUUUCGGUUGAACAUUGUUAAUGGAACCGUGCGAAAUAUUAUUCGUCCGGUUCAUGUAAGGAACUGAUUUGGUGCCACCAACUACAUUGUAGGUAACAUGCCUAGACUGCAUUUUUGACCGAUGAGCGCGGCUAGAUUCCUUGAAGAAAUCUAACAAGCUUACAUUGCUUACCGAGAACCAAAUAUAUAUAUUAUGAUUUUGUUCGAAGCUUAAUGUCUCAAAAUAUAUAUUUUAGUUAAUUUGGAUCCAUAAUAUUUAAAAUUCAAUAUUUAGGUUACUAUAUAGCGAAUUUCUAAGCUCAUAUCUAUUACCUUCCAAAGUUUUGUUUAAUCCUAUACUAUUAUUUGGGGAGUACACUUCUUUAUAAGAUACCCUUAACUAACCUUUCCUUUUGUAAAAAAUUACCUAAAAAUGCCAUUAGAGAUAAAAUUUCAAAGAGUAAAUUAAUUCAUCUUAUUAAGGAUAAACAAGUCAAUUUAUAUAAUUUAAUUAAUUUAAUUUAAUUAUAAAAACGAAAAACACAUAAUUAUUAUUAUUUUUAAAUGACCAAUCAAAAUGAAUAUAUAAGAUUUGAUAUCUAACUUACCUUAUUAAUUUGUUAUUAAUCAUUAUAUUUCACCUCUCAUCUUUAUAUGAUUCUAUUAUUGUGAAACAAAUAAAUCAUCAUAUCAUCCAUAUAAUAAUAAAAAAUAGAUUUUUUUCCGCAUAUGCCAUAAUUUGAAUUUUUUAAAACGAAUAUAAAUUAUUCAAUUUAUGUAAAAAAAAAAUUAACGAGUCAAAAAUUUAGACUUGGAUAAUAUAUUUCUUUUAAACAAAAAUAAAUUCAAAACAAAUUCCGCCUGAAUAACGGGUCAGAAUUUGAGUUAUUAUAUUCAAUUUCAUAUAUUUUUUUAAAAAUAUAUAAUUUUAUAUACUACGAUACAAUUUUAAAUAUUUUAAUUUAGAAUAUUUAAAAAUAGUUUUACUUGAUAUUCUGUUAAUUUCUGUUAACUUUUCUAAUUUAUCAAUCAAAAUAUUAAUAUUGAAAUUAUAAAUUUAUUUUCAAAUAAUAAUAAAUUCUUGAAAAUUUCCAAAAAAAAAAACUGAAAACUCUCUUAAAUUAAAUAUUAAAAUUCAGUUUCAUACGAAUUUUUUAGUUAUUUUUAAUUAUUUUUUAUAAAAUUAAGUAGUUUGGAGUAAGAAUUAUGAAAAACAUAUCUUUUGGACUUUCGAAUUUUUCAAGAAUUUAUUAAGGAAUUUUAGAGAGUUUUCAAAAUAAUUUGAAAAAUGAUAUAGAUUCUAAAUAAUUCGGUUGGUUCGAAUCAAUAUGGAAUUCAAGAAUACAGUAAAACUUCUGAUAGUUCUUGAGAGCUCUCCUCUUCGGAACAGCUCGACCUUCACGCCAAUGGCGUCUUCUUCUCUUACUUCAUUCCCAUGCCUAUCCUCGCUGACGAUUAAGCCCAUGGCAGCUCUCACCAAUCCCCCAAGAACGAAAACUCCAUACGAACUGAAAAAGGGGCAAAACCGUCUCUUCCACAAGCUUCCCUCUGGUCUAAAAAUGGAGGUAAUCGAACAACGAAGAAGCAAAUCCGAAAGAGAGAAUCCACCAUUGGUGUUUGUACAUGGAAGCUAUCACGCAGCUUGGUGUUGGGCUGAACAUUGGUUACCUUUCUUCUCUUCUUCUGGGUUUGAUUCUUAUGCUGUUAGUUUAUUAGGUCAGGUAAAUUCUCAAAUCAUCAAAGUUUUGAUUUUUAUGCUGAGUUUCGAUUUCCCCAAUAUCUAGUUAGACUUUCAAGAACAUAAAGUUUCAAACUUUGGAUUGAAAUUGAGUGAUUUGUUAUCUUUAGGGUGAAAGUGAUGAACCUUUGGGAACAGUUGCUGGAACACUUCAGGUAUUUGAAACUUGCAAUGUGCAUUUUCUUUAUUGGAUAGUUACUUGAUUCAGCAAGAUUUGUGUUUGUGUAGUAGACGCACGCAAGUGAUAUUGCGGAUUUCAUUGAAUCGAAUCUUGGUUCUUCACCUCCUGUGCUUAUUGGUCAUUCUUUUGGAGGACUCAUUGUUCAAUAUUACUUGGCAAAUAUUGUAAACAAGCAGACGUUAGGUAAGGUGUAUAUUCAUUGAAAUGAGUUUCGUUUUCUGGAUCAGGUGUAAGAAUGCCUAUACGAUAACCGAUGAGUUUGU
rnacentral:lncRNA from 1 species